GCCCACUUGGACCUAGUGGGGAGAUCGGCGGAGUCGGUGGCCGAGCCCACUGGAACUAUGGAAGAUAGUUCUCACCCCACUCUAUUUCCAGGGCUAGGUACAAGUUUGCCGGGCGAGGACCGCGGCAAGGGCAUCGCGCCCGACCAGUGAGGAUUAUUGGUAGAGUAGUAGCUUUCCUUUUGCAUUAGCACACCUAUGUAUUUGAGAGAGAUUCAUGUAGGUGAGGACUUUGGAGAGCUAUGUACUUGAUUAAAAUAUGUAUUCAUUUUGAGGAAAAGAAUGUAAUUGUAUACAAAAUGCAAAUGUGAUGUAAUAGUUAGUAAGUUCUCUCUUUAUUUCACUUGUGUAUCUUGUGGAUUACUUGCUCUUUGUUGUUGGCACUGUUUGUGCCCCGUUGAUUGUGUACUCAUAGAAUUUAAAAUCCUGGGUAAAUUCUUGCACUCGAUCUGUUGUUGAGCCUUGGGCGGACAAGGGAGGUGCUGUCCGUUCGGUAUCCGUUCGCCGCGCCCGAACCGUGCCAAAUUGAUAGGGGUUUCGGGGCGGGGGGCGUGACAAUCUUACUCGAUUAUUUUAGGACUUUUUUUUGCAUUUAGCCCCCUCAAAACUUUUUUUUUCUACAAAUAGCCCUAACAAAUUUAUAUUUGCAUAAAUAGCCUCUCCUUGCCACGUGAGUGCGUAGGUGGCGUUUUUAAGUUCAACACGCUAAUUCAAUCACCAAAUUUAAACACGAUGAUUGGAUCAUCAUAUUCUUUUUUGUAUUUUUAUCACCCCUAGGUUAAAAAAGAGGGAGUAGAGUAUGGAUAUAAACAUAGUGAUUCAAUCAUUGUGUUUAAACUCGAUGAUUAAAUUAAAAAUGCCAACGUGUCGUUCGCAUGGCAAGGAGAGGACCAUAUAUGCAAAUAUAAAUUCGUUAGGGCCAUUUGUUAAAAAAAAAGUUUUGAGGAGGAUAAAUGCAAAAAAAGCUUAUUAUUUUAUUAUACACAGUGAUUGCUUUAUAUUUGUUAGUGUAGUACAGUCCUACACUAGAUCUUCAUAUAUGAUUCAUAUUUGACACUCAUGCAUGCUAGAUGCUGCUCUACAUACCAAUCGUUAUUCCUUUUUGAAAUGACAGCAUGCUUUUGGUUACUAUGCGUUAUCCCUUUUUUUUCCAUUGAUACUUGACAUGUAGAGAACUAAAGCAGGAUUGCCUAUAGUCUAGCUAUUUGACAUGCUCGUGGGUAUAAAUCCUAAUUGGAUUUGUUGAUUACUUUGUGGGAGUUCUUUCGGCUUCAUGUUGUGACUUGGUUAUCAGAUUGAUACACAAGUUGAGCAUAUCACCUUGUGAUCGCCAUAGCUAGCGGCACAUCCACGAACACCUUUGCAGCAAUCUGAUCCACCCAAUGGCUUUCUUUUUCGAAAAGUGAUUCGGAGCAUACCCAUGAGCCCUUUGUCGUACUCGUGGUGUUACAGAUUAUAUGCCAGUUUUGUCAGGCGUUCGCAGUGAUUCAAAAGGCGCGCCCCAGGUGUGAGCCUAGGCGCUAGGCAAGGUCACCUGCGCCUAGGCAUCCCCCAGGCGAGCGACCUCGCCUGGGCGCGCGCUUAUCUUGAAGCGCCAGUCGCUCUCAGGCACGCCCGAAGCUCUGAUGGAUUUGGACUUUUGAUCCAAGUCAUCCAACUAAUCCCUUUAAGACUUAAAAAAAAAAAAAAAAAAAACCCAAACCAAAUCUAGGGUUGAGAAAUCCUAAAAAUCAAUCACUCGUCACCUGCGACUCCUGAUGCUCCGCUCAAGCAAGCAUUAUCCCUCUCUCUGUCUCGCUCACUCGAAUAAUUAGUUUUCAUAUGAUGCCCUUUUGUUCUUUGUCUUGAAACUUAUGUUUUUAUUUUUUUAUGAAUGCUACUUGCAUACUUUUUGAUGAUCAUAUGCUUAUAAUUGGUAUGUCUUUGACAUCCUAUAAGUUUGUGCACUACUAGUUAGCUUCAUGCUUGCCUUUAUUUAGAGACAAAAAGGUAAUUGUUCUCUGCUUUAGUACUUUUGCAUGUAUUAUUUUGUUUUUUUAACAUUAUCACAAUCAUAUAUCUGUUCUUUAGUUUCUUUUCUUUUUUUCAUCUUUUUUUAUUCCGACGAUGUGAUUCUUUGGUUGUUUAUAAAAUAUCUAUUCUGGAAUAUGAUUUUUUAAGAGUCUUUAGUGUCCUUUAACAAUUGUUAAAAGGUAUAUUUGUUUAUUUCAAUAUUCUGUGAAAGUUUGCUCCUCACCUCUCUCAAGUGUGCUCCUACGCCAUGCGCCUUACACUUAUGCCCUAACAGCCUUUUGCACUUUGGUCCGCCUUGGGCUUUUUUAAACAUUAGGCAUCCGUCGUGGCAUUGUCGUGGCAUGAGCCUAAAGUCUGUCAGACUUCUUGCUCGAUUGGCUCAUGAUACAUAUAGAUACACCUACUAACGAUUGGCUUUCAUUACAAUGACACUAUUACUCAGUUUACAUUACUUAAUUGUCAUUACCUGCUUUUGAUUAUGUGGCUGUCUCUUAUCAUCCUGAUUACUGUUCAAUUCAUUAUCCUCCAAAUUACCUAUUUCUCCCUUUGUUUACCGGUAGGUAUGGCUUGCCUUUGGCAGCUCGCUGUACCUACUGAAAAGCAUUUUAUAUAAUUCUCACCCCCUAUUUUUACAAGUGACAUGCGUGGAGGUCAGGACGCUUCGUGAAGUCGAAUCUAGUUAGACCCACAUAGAAAACUCGCACAGGCCUUGGGUAGUUGAUUGGAUGGCCAGUUGUAUUAAACUCAGAUUUCUUGCUAUUACUUCACGUCGUUAGUUUUAUGCUGGAUAAGGAGAUGAGUAGUUAUUAUUCUAUUCAGAGUAUUAUGCAGUUUGGUUAAUUAGUUAAUUACAAAUUCCUUUGGUUGGAUUAUGGUAAGUGUCAAGAUUAUGUUUAACUUGUGUUCAUGUGAAAGAUAGAAAUUUCUACUUUAAUUCCUAUAAUCACAAUUCCAUUGUUAUAUACAAUGGGUGCAAGAUGUGUAUGUAUGAUCAUACUAGGUUCUAUGUUGUUGUUGCUUUGUAUUCCGAUGACAUGCACGGACAGGAGAGAUGUUAUCUGUGUGGCAAGUCUAUUCACUCUAUCAGCAAGGCUUUAAAAUGAUUUUAUUCAGCUUCCGCAGUUCUCUGAUUCCAGAAGAAAAGGAUUUCAAAAAUGCAUUUUAAAAACGGGACUAGGGCAUGACAGAUACAAUUGAGAAAAUUAUCAUCAGAACAACUAAAUCAUAAACGAUCUACAUAUCAUCAAUUACAAGAUGUCAAGACCUACUAAAAAUGACUAAAAAGUAUUUAACACAAUCUUGAAUUCUUAAACUAUAAAACUAAAUGAGCUAUAAAUUGCAAACUGAUGGUCAGCUACGUAAGUGUUUUCAACCAUCAACCAUUGAUUUUGAAAAUUUAAGGAAACAUGACAAAAGCUUAUAGAAACAAAACAAAAUCUUCAAAAGCCAUUGCUAAAUGUUGAAACAGUCUAAAACUGGGCCGAACCACCUAAAAACCAACUUAGUCAAAACCAGACAAAACCAUUGAAAUCAGCAUAAAUUGCAAUUAGAAGCAUUUAUGUUUUAGCCACAUUAGUUAAAAUUUGAAACAUGAAAGAGGCUAGUUUCUAGUUAAAUGGCUGUAUAUUAAAGCCACGAACUCAAUGAAGUACUAUGUGAUCAUACUUAAAAGAGCAAAUUAAGGGUUUCACUUGCAGGGCAUCAUCAUAAGUAUGAAUGAUCUCAUCAAUAGGGGUUUCCUUUAGGAAUCAGACAUGAUUACUAAUUACUAAAAUCUAAAAAGAAAAAAAGACUCAAAUCAUUUGGCAAAGGGGAUUGACCAUCCAUCCAUAGCAUUGUAAAAGCAAAAAAUGGGCUUUGGUUCUAAAGUCAAAAAUUGACUCCAUAUCCUGCAGUUAAAAAGAACUUUGCUCGGAUACCCAGCUGAUCUAACCCAAAUAUAUAUAUAUCAGAAAAUGCACAACUUUCCGGUCUUGUCUAUCCAAUUUGCCGCAGCUAGCAAACUCAGCAUGCAGAUUGAUGUCACGUUUUUUGCAUAAAUGUUUCAGUACGAAAAGAAUUUUCGAGAUGCCCAGGCUCUGCCGGAUUGUUGUGAUUUCCCCAACAAAGGGGAUUUCAGAUUGUUGUAGCUGAGAUUCGGCGAGAAUUUGCAAAAGUUAAAUAAGCUUAUGGCACCGGCCCUAACAAUGCUGGGGAGAUGCGUGGCUUAGCUGUAGGCUAAAGUUUGAGUCUUUCUACGAAAGGGUUCGUGAGGCAGUGCAUCUCAUGGAAUUAUUAGCCGAAUAGCAUCAGGGGAAUCCAAAUGCCCUCGAAUUGAUCUCCCCUCUUUUCGCUCGAAAGGCAUCUCCGUAACCACGAUUGGAAAAAUAAACAAAUAAAAGAACAGAGGAUUCGGAAGUCGUUAUUCAUAAGUUAUAGAUAAAGAAAAAAGGAAAUAAAAAUAUUGCAGAGCGAAAAAAAAAAAAAGGAUGCCAAGCAAGCCGUGUUUGAGCUACCCGAAGCAGGAACAACCCAGCGACGAAGAAAAAGAGAUCUUUUAAAUGAAAGAGGAAAGAAAGGGAAGAGGGGAAUCGGGUGAGUAAAUUACUCUCCCAAAGGCAUUGAUAUCGUGGCGGUUUGCGAGGAGAUCGGCCACAUCCUUCCUGAGAAACUUGAGCAUCGCCUGCUUCUUCUUCCUUAUGGGAUCCAACCGCGAUUUGAUACGCUUCGUCGCAUGCUUGCUGAAACCAAACCCAAUUGCCAAACCCGAUUCAUUCUCCAUUCCCGUAUGUUUCCAACGCAGUAACAAAAUAACAAGAGAAGAGGAAGAGGAAAGCGGAGGAAGAAUAAUAUAAUAGAAGCACAGAUUACCAGUUGUUGGAGAACUUGGAACCCAGCAAGCCAUCAAACAUCUUCCUCCCCACUCUCUAAUCUAGCUCCCUCCAACGUAGAUUUUGAGCGGAAGAAUAGAAAGAAGAAAGGGCGGGAGAAGUGAAUUAGGGUGGUGGGGGGUGGAUUGGUGGCUUUCAUCAAAGAAGAGGAAAUAUGGAUAAUGGAUAAGAAGAAGAAGAAAAGCAGGAAGGAAGGAAGGCGGACGACGAAGGACGGGGAAAGCAGGAAGAUGUCGCGGUGGAGAUGAGCCGUAGGAGGCGAGCGGACAGGUUGGAAAAAAAAUAAAAUAUAGGACGACCAAUUUGUAGCUUUAUUAGGAUAAUAAAUUCUCUAUAUUUAUUAAUUAAUUAAUUAAAGAGCAAAGUGGGGUUUGAUUUAAUAAAUAAUAAUAAUAAUAAUAUAUAAUAUAUAUAUAUAUAUAUAUACAUCUAUGUUAAUUAAUUAAUUAAUUAAUUAAUUUUUAUUAUUUUAUUUUUAUUUUUAUUUUUAUUUUUAUUUUUAUUUUUAUAUGAAUCCUCAGUUUUUUUGGACAGGUGGCGGAGGAGGGGAGCUGGAGGGGCAGCCGGGUUGGGGCUGGGGUUGGGCUAGGCCUUUUUUUUUUUUUUUUGUUGACCAUUGUUGUUGUCCACUAAAUAGGACUAUAAAGAAAUUAUAUAGAUAUAGCUAGAGGGGGCAGCAGGGUUGGGCCAGGCUUUUUUAUUUUGUUUUCAACCAUUGUCAACUAAUUAGGACUAAAAAAAUUAUAUAUCUAUAUUUGUAAAUCUAAUCUAAUUUUACUCUCUUUCAUCAUAAAAAUUUAAAAUAUAUAAUUUUUUACAUAUAAUUUUUAAAUAGUAUAGAUUAUAUGUAUUAAACAUAAAUUUUAAUUUUAUAAUAUUGACCAUUUAGAUAUAAAUUGUACAAUAAAUAAUAAAAAAGAAAUUGAUAGAGUUUAAACGAAAAUCAUGCGAAGUAUAUUAACUAAAUUUGUAGGACUAAAUCUAAAGUACCAAUAGCUAUAUAACUUUUUAUUUACUCAAAUUUAAUAUGUAGAAAGAUUGAAUAGUAAAAACGAAAUUUGGAAAAAUUGGUUAGCUAUACUACAUUUCAUAGAAUAUAAUACGUACUCUAUAAAGGAAAAAAAAAUAAUAAUAGAUAAGCAACAAUCUUGAAAGUUUAAUAUAAUAUUUGUUUAAAUAAAAAGUUAUAUAGCUAUUGGUACUUUAGAUUUAGUAUCAUAAAAAUAUUUAAAGAUUUUUUUUUAAUCAACUAUAUUUAAAAAUUUUAGAUAAAGAUGAAUAUAAUAUUUAAUAUUAAUAUAUGUUAGAUAUUGAGACAAAUUGCAACAAAAGUAUAUAAAGAUAUACUCCAUAAAAAAUAUAAUCUAUUUUUAGUUGGGACUAUAGAAAAUAUAUAUAUAGUAAUUAUUAUACAUUAUAUAUACAGUAAUUAUAGGGCGUGUUUGGUACGUUUUUUUUUCACCCUGAAAUUGGAAUCGGAAUGGGCGAAUCCGUAACGAUCAAUUUUACAUUCAAAAAUUUUUAGAAUAUUCAAAAUAUGAUUGAUCGACUUUUAAUUUUAGUAAUUAAAUAUUUUAAAAUUUAUUAGAUAGUUUAACAUAUCGUAUGAAGUUUGGUAUUCAUUUGAAAUAGAAUUAAAGUAUAAAAAAAUAAUUCCACUUUUGGUUCCAAACUAUAAGUUACUGUAGCAACUGUUGUUUCUUUUUAAGUUUUUUUUUUAUAUUUUUUUUUAGCUACGUGGCACCAGACCUCCUUGCCCUUAUCCCCAUCGUCGCCUUGCCCUUAUCCCCGUCACCGCCAUACCUCAUCUUCAACAAUUGCGGCGCCGACGUAAAUGCGUUCACGUGAUGGUUGCCGAUUGCCGUCGCCGUGUACAAGUCCAGCCUUCCCUGCCCGUCCUUUCACUGUCGCGUUGAUUUGUACUUCGGCGUUAGCCUCACUGGCAUCAUCCACGUUGAUUUGUACUUCGGCGUCAUCCUCGACUCCGGCGGUAUGGGACACGUUGGAUCUGACCUGGAACUUUCGCGCGUGCUGCCUCCAUCUUGCCACUUUAAUUCUCCUAGCCGUUCGCCUAUUUAAAGCUGCUUGGAUUCCUCUCCCUAAUCACCUCUGCCUGAGAAAUCUCCUACACGUGUGUGUUCUCUGCAAACUCCCUCCUCUGUUUUUUUCCUCCUUUCUUCCUCUUCCCCUGCUAACUCCUUCCAUCUCCUUUGCUCCCAAUUUGUUGUAGGUUGCUUGACUGGCGUGUUCAUCCUGUUCGUUGCCCACUCACCAUCGGCGUUGCGUGUCACUCAACAUCAUCGUACGCUCAAUUCUGCCAGUAUGUGCCCAUGUCACUACAAAUAAGAUUUGUUCCAGCAGUUUUUCAGCCAGCAGUUAUGUUAACAGCUGCUAAAACUAUAUUAUACCAGCAUUUUUUUAUUUUUUUUGUUAUAUUUAGUAAAUCGUUGGUAUAGGGGUAAUAAUUUUUAAUGUAUAAACAAUAUUGGGUCUUAUUUUGUUAGCUUAUUUUAUCAAUUGGGUCAAUAAUUGGGCCAACAUUGGAUUUGAAAAGCCUUGCACCUAAAAUGCACCUAAAAUGCUCCUAGGGUUUCUCUCCUCCCCUUCUCCCCAGGUUAAAUCCCUUCCUCCUCCCUACACGCUCUAUCUCUCUCUCUCUAACCCUUCUUCGUCGCCAACUCUAGGUUAGGAAUGCGGCGGUGGACAUCAAUCGUGGCCUCACGGGCUCCGACGAGGGCCUUCGCUCCCUCGUCGCGUACGUCGCCCUCGCCCUCUCCCGCCUCCUCCGCCUCCUCCACGACCCGCCGGAGACCGCCGCCGCUGCCGAGGCCCUCGUCAACCUCUCCCAGGAUGCUGACCUCGCUGCCAAACUCGUCUACCUCAGCUCCGUCGCCACCGCCAUUGAUGUCCUCUACAAGUACCCCGACCACCCCGCCCUCGCCUGCGGUCUCGUCAUGCUCCUCACUAAUCUCACCCAAGUCGAAUCCGGCGUCGCCGCCCUCCUUCAGGUGCGAUCCUUGAUUCCUUCCUCUACCAAAAGCACCCAAUAGUAUAUUGGCUAUGGUUGGGGUGACCACUUGUUACUGUUGAGUUAAAUUCCUGUAUUAUUUUCUCUAUUUGAUAUUAGUGGGAUAGAAUUGUUUGCAAUGGUUGUAGUAAUUAUAGUAAGAGUAAGCAUUUUCGUGGAUAUGUUUUUUUAUGUUUACGAUGAGCGGAGAAUUGGGAGUGUGUAAGUUGAGUUGAAUAGUUGUCAUUGCUAAGUAGAUGAUGAAAUGUGCAAUUUUUAGCCCGUAAAUUGCACAUUCUUUUUUGUAAUUUUCAAAGUCACCACCUCAAAUACUUACUAAAACAGGAACAAAUUAUAAUCAGUUAUAUAUAAUUGUUUCUGUCGCACACGCCAUGCCGUGUAGAUGUAAUUCUAUUGAACUAAACUAAAUUCUAUCUGUAAACAGUGAUAGUAAUGCAUGGCAAUUGACAUAUGAGUUAUCAUAAGAUUGCUUCAUGAAUUUUGCGGAUGCAGCAAUGUAUCCUGUUCAUUGAAUUACAAAGUAAAAGUAAUUAAUUUUUUAUGCUUAAUAUGCUCAUUCAAUGUUCAAUUGUGCCUGUUUGUUCUAGCUGUUGUAGUGUGUGAGAAUUUGAUGCAUCUUGAACUAAAGAACUUGGUAUAUGCUGUUGAAUCCAAUAACUGAUCCUAUAACUUAAUACAAGUCCCUUUCUUAUGCUAACUGAUCCAAUAACUCAAUGGCGUACUUUUAUCUGAACUUCGCCAACUACAUGAACAUUGAUAAAGGUUGCUGCUGAGCUGAAUGUUUCUAGAAUUGUACUCUUUAUUUGUUAGAAUAUUUGUUUUGCCCUAUUCUUCUCCAAUCUCUGUCAAAAAAAUAUAUUAGUAAUUCUGAAUAUUCAUCUCUGACUGAAGUUAGCUAUUGACUGAAGUUAGAUAUUUUGAUUAUUAUUAUUACCAUCAUAAUUAUUAUUAUUAUUUGCUAUGUGUUCUUGAUUAUCUAAUUAUAUGUUUGCAGCAUUGAUUUGGUUGCUAUUUUGUCUGCGAUUUAGUUUGUGUGGUGAGUUUCUGAAUCAUUAAAUCUAAAUUAGAGACCUUGUGUGGUUGUUCUCUUGUUAGAUAGUUGUAUGAUUUGCUAGUCACUUUGAUUACUACAUUGGUAAUGAUUUAGAUGAAACUUGUGAACCAUGUCUAAAUUAGAGACCUUGAGCAUUAUUCUCUCAUAAUACAAUUAUGUGCUUGCUGCAUCACUUUGAUUACAAAUGUUUGCUCGUGUUUUAGUUGGUUAGGGAAUUUUUGUUCAGCAAUGAUUAAUACUAUGUUUCAUGAUCUUAUUCAUAUACAUAAUUAACAAUAUUUAGCUAUAACUGAUACUAUAUUUCAUGAUCUUCAUAUCAACAACUUGUGUUGAUUUUUGCUUGAAUUAUUUGGAUUUGUUGAUUGGUUAAAUCUCUAUAUAUGUUCAUGUAGAUAUGUUUCAUGAUGUUCAUAUCAACAACAAUAAAGUAAAAAGAUGCAUGCUUGUAAUUUUCUGACUUGAUGUAGUGAUUGGGUCAACAUUUUAUUUAACAGAUUGGAUCUUUUAAAUGGAACUGAUAAAAGACUUAAUGGAAUAUGUAAAUUGGAUAGACAUAAAAUUUGUUACCUGUAGUUUUGCAAAGAAGCUGUUUGUCUGAAACAUAUGCUUUGAAUCGUUAUAUUCUAAAUGCCUUCCUACAUAAACACACCCAGGGGGUGCUCAAUUGCCACUUUUGUGUUCUUCCUCUUGUUUCCUAUAGAAUCCCUGGUACUAGAAGUAGAGUGUUUGCACCCAGGGGUGCUCAAAUGAUAGCAUUUUUGUAUAUUUCCAAUUAAAUGUGGAAGUUAAUUAGUUGAAGAGACUUAGUUAGAUGCGGAAAUUAUAUAUAAUAAGACUAUCUCAUUAAUUAUUGAAUAAUUGAAGCAUCUACAUUCCUUGCAAUCUACAACCACUAAUUGUCUCCAAAAUAAUGUUCUAGAUAGUGUGAAAUGGAGAUUUGGAGAAGUCGCGUGUAAAGUGGAUUGAAAGAAACAUCUUAUUAUUUUUUUUUGGAAAUUUCCAUACAUGAAUUGAUUGUGAACAAAAAUUCUCCGAAUCAAGUUCGACAUUUUCCUUGUGAGAAAUGGCCAAUUCAAUGUGGUUUACGUGCUUCGGACUUUGUCUUAAUGGAUUGAGUUUCUAUUUUAUUUCUGGAGAAAAGAUUUGAGUUUUCUAUUCUAUUUUAUUAGCUGGAAAAAAAAGAGGAGGUCACAUUCGGAAAAAAGUAAAUAAAGAAAUAAAAAAGGGAAAUGACUACCAAAGCAAAAAUGGUUUUAUAUGCUAAUCACGAUGUGUGUUUGAACAACCAGUGCUAAUUGUAAUCCAUUUUGAAAUGGCCCCUCAACUUUAUUUUUUUUGAAGUAACUUCUUCUAAUUUUUUUUAUUUAUUUAUCUAAAAUUAAGUAAUAUUAGUUUGUAGAUAAAUUAGAAAAUUUUAAUCAAAUUUGUAGAUGAUUCUAUUAAGUUUUAUAUAACUACUUUUCGCCAAAUAAAAGUUGAAAAUUUUUAUAAUACUAUCCAGUACUAUUAAGUUUGCAGUGUCCCAACUUCCAGAAUGGUUGUUUUCUUUGUUCAGCUAAAUAUAUAACAAAUAGAUGGCAAAAAGUUGAUGAAUUUUUCUGCACAAGCCUUUUGAUGCUUGUUUGCCAAAUCAUUGUUUAUUUUGAUUAUGAGGUCUCUGAGCUUCAAGCUCACAGUGACUAUAAAGUUUUGGGCGUAAUUUUUUGUAUUGUAACCAUCCUUUCGCACGCACAAACAUGUAAAUGUAGGUGCGUAUAUUUGUAUGAAUUGCUUCACUAAGCCAUGCCAAUUUAAGAUAAAAUCUAUUUAUUCUCGACUUCGAAUUACCUUCCAAGCUCGAUAUAUAAAAUCUGAUCAGCAUAAGUAAUGACUCUUUUCCUUUGCAUGCUGGUCAUAUUUCAAUAAUUAAACACUAAACUGGAAUAUUAUUUGCAAACAUAGAAGGUUAAAUAUUACUUCUUUCUCAUAUGGUAUUCCUUAUGUGCUGCUGUGCUAUUUAUCAGGUGCUGCCAAUUAUCCAUCAUUUUGCCUUCUUCUAAAGCAACUUGUUGCCCCAUUACACACUCAGCUACUGGAUCGACGCUCUAGCAUCAUUAAACAGGUCGAUGUUUCGAGCUCAUUUACUGGCUAUUAUCUCUUAGUGCGAUACGCCAGGCUUCAUUUAUAUGAAACAUUCCAGUGGCAGUUGGUAGUUAAAUCAGGUUUAUUUACUGAUAAUUGAUCACUUCAUAAUAUCCUCUGCUGCUCAUGUAGUGUGAAACCUUUAAAACCUUUAUUAAGUUUGUCUUGUGUGCUGGGAAGAUAAUUGAAACCAAAGUUCGCAUGACCCAAGGACUAAGAUUAAAUACUCUGUUAUGCUAGAGAUGUUCAAAUCUGUGUUGUACUAGGCUGGUGUGUGAUACCCCAGAAAUACUUUGUUCAGCUGAUCUGUAUGAAGAUCUGAUUAAGUGCACUAUAGCAGAUGCCAUUAGUAAGGUAUGCACUUGUAAUUUUGUAAUCAUUGCAUGGGUGUAAGCAUGCAGAAAAUGAUUAAACGUAGCUAAGUUCAAAAUGAGCUUGUUUUGGAAUCAAAUUGAGCGAGAGCUUUUUUUGCUUGGAGUUCAAACCCAACUGCUCGCUAAAGGCUUAGGAAAUUAUCCAUAAGAAGUAAGAAAAGGAUAUGAAAGCACCUAGAGAACGAGAUCACUUACAUUGUUAUUAAUGUGAACUUUGAUCCCAUAUACCUUUUUUUUGUUUUUCUUUUUAUUGAGAACUUUGAUCCUAUAUCCUAUUUAAAUUCAUUGCACGUGUGGAAUAAUGUCGAUAUAACAUCAAAUAUUAUCUCAUUUACAUAAAUAUCAUUUUUCAUACAAAUAAUCACCAUAUCACUAUUGCUUGAUGUGUCACGGCCAUUUACUUGAUAAUUCUUCAUGUUUCCUUCAUAUAUUGCAUCACACAUGUUUAACUAGUAUGGUCUAUAUUUUUUUUUCUAACUAUCAUUAAUUACUAUAGAAAGCCUAUGAUAACAUAAUAUGUUCCUGCCUUUCAUUAUCUUUCUAUCCCCCUAAUCUCAUCAAGAUUAAAUGUCUUUUACACCACUGAAGGUGCGAUCAACUGCACGAGCUUGCUACAGGAUGUUUGCCAAAAUUUGGCCAGAGCGUUCCACUCGCCUUUUCUUGUCAUUUGACACUGUCAAACAAAAGGUACAUCACUCUCUUCUGAAGUGAAAUUGAUUUAUUUGGAUUUCAUAAUUUCACUAAUUUGAUUCCUUUUCAGAUAAUCAAUGAUGAAGAUGGUGAGAAGCACGAAAUAUGUGCUUCUCCAUUACUUAACAAACAAGCAAUUCAACUGCUGCAAACUCCAUCUCAUGCUCCUAACCUAAAUUCACCUACAUGUGCUACUUCUAAUGCACUUGCAAUGGACAAGAGCAUCGAUUUUGCUUCUUUAUCACAUACAAAGCUAUCAUCAAUCAGUGAUUUAGAAAAAAAUUACCAGUCUUCUCUCUGCUCGUAAAGAAAAUGGUCCACCAAUUGCAAUAUCAGUGAAAGCUGUAAAUGUAUCAGACAAGGAAAGGCCUCAUAUUUCAUACUCGAACAAUUCUGAUUAAGGUAUUAUCUUAUUGCUUUUGUGAAUUAUAGCUGGUAUGAACUAAUAGUAUUUACCAAAUUCAAACUUACGCAAUGUCAAAUUUAUUUCAUCCACUUCUCAUCUUCUUUUACUUUUCUUUACUAGCGCAGGAGUUGAUUACUUGUUUGCAAGUUUCUCUUUAUAGAAUUCAACAUUUUCUCAUGCAUCCACGGCUACUUUAAACAAGGAUGUUGUAAAUCAUGGCGAUCAAGAUUCAAAAAAUCUCAUCCCUCUGGUCCACUCGGCGAAAGAUUCUACAAAAUCACCUAACGCCGGUCAGUUAUCAUCAGAUUCCGUGUCAGCCUCUUCAUUGCCUUGCACUUCAAAAAGUUCAGAAAAGUCUCAAAAUGGAGGUGUCAUUGAAUUCACUAAUGAUAUUAGAUCAAGUAAGCAACUUUCUCAUCAAAUUGACGGUAAUUUUAUCCCCAAUUUUCGCCGACCGCUUCUAAAACAAGUCAAUAACUUGCUUCUGGUGACCUGCGUAAAUAGUUUUGAUGAUAGUGAGCUUUUACUGGGUCAAAUGGCUAGCUAUAUCGAUGCUCCAUCAUCUCUUAAUGAUUCUCUAGUUGAGGGCCUAAAGCCAAGUUCAGGUUGGAUUAUGAGAAUUUUCGCAUUCAAUUAUGUCCAUUCAUUGUUGCAGCAAGGACCCAAAGGAAUUCAAAAAAUUACCCGAAGUUUUGACAAGAUCAUGAAGCUCUUUUGCCGGUAUUUGGAUGAUCCUCAUCAUAAAGUAGCACAAGCUGCUUUCUCAACACUAUUGGAGAUGAUCCCGAGUUUUAAAAAGCCUUUUGAGACUUAUCUUGACAGGACUUUACCAUUUAGUUAGAUUCCUAAAUUCUUCUAUAGUAGCAAGCUUGUUGAGUAGCAGGUCCUUUAAUGGAUGAAAUUCAAUUUUCGAUGCUUCCAUUUUUUGCUAUAUGUUACUUACGAUGGAGCUUAUAUGUUUUGAUGUUUGUGUAGUUUAUAUGUUUCAAUUUCUUUUGUUUCAGAUUGAAGCAACAAGCGGGAUUUGAUGUUUUGCAUUUCAAGAACGUUCAGCUGGAGCUUUUCACUCUCCAUUUUCUUAGCUUUCUAACAUUUCGAGUUCAAAUAAAUUUUCUUUUGCAUUGAUUUCUAUUAGAACAUAAAAAAUUGUUUCGCUGCAUUUUGUCAUUGCUACAGAUCAUGAUUUUACCAUCUUGUAGUUUUGUUACAAACAUUUUUACUAGUUUUGUUAUAGAUUUCUCUAUUGCAAUUUAGUAAUGUAACUCUCGUUUUUUUGGAUAUUACAAAUAGUUAAUUUUCCAGCAAAUAUCAAAUGAAAAAGACCUAUUGAAAUUUGUUGAUAUUAGUUUGUUUUUUUUUUUCAUAUUAGUUUUAAAUUGCCAACGGUCAAAAACUGUCGCUACAUAUACUUUACACCAGCGGUUUUUUUUGUAGAAGUACCGACGGUUUAUAAAAUGUUGCUAGAGAUUAUCUUCUCCAAUGGUUAAUAAAAGUGUUGGGAAAGGACAAUACCGGCAAGGAUAUAGUAACGAUCAUUUAUACUUUUACCAACACUUUUAGAACUGCUGGAGCAAAUAUUACUAGUGGUUUUUAUAAUCUUUUCCAGCAGUUUUGGCUGCUGGUGUACACCUAUAUUGUUGUAGUGUGUGUGUGUUUAUUUUUCUAUUUUCCAUUGGUCUAGAGAUAUGCUUACAAUGGUGAAAUGUCAGUUGUCUCCUUCUCCAAUUCUUUUUUUCUUUUUGGCCUUUCCUGGAUUAUGCAUCUAUGCAUGUAUGUUUACUAUACUGUUUGUGCAAGAAGAUUGCUGCAUAAAUGCGAAAAUCUAUUUGGGAUAGAUAAAAAAAUUAAUGAAAAAUAAAGACAAUAAGAAAAAGGGAAAAAAAAAACCUCCUCACUUCUAAAACAAAAAAAAAGAAAUAAAAAAACACCUAAAAAUAAAGGGGAAAAAAGUCAUGUCCUAUCAACAUGAGAUAUUUAUUUAUAUAUUUAUUUUACAAUAUGACAAUCCAUGCUAAGGCUAAUUGGAAUUGUUGUCAUCGAUAUUAGCUUUCGUAGACUGCUCCGCAUUAUAUGCGCAAAGUUUUCUCUACCUCCACCGAAGUAUGGAGUGGGUUUAGAUGCUACAGGCCGGUUUCGAGCUUUUGUAGAUGUCACGGUACCUAGGGUUGGCCCAAUGCUGGAGAUGCUUACAUACUGGGGUACGCCAUCUACAAACAUUGGACAGACCCAGGAGGAUGCUGCUAGGACUCCUGUCGAGAGGCUUCGUGAUGAAUUGCAUUUUGAGAUCAAGGAUAGCAACUAUGAAGAACGGCAGUUUUAUGAGAACUUAUAUGACCAGAUUGCUAGCGAGUACGAUACACUGUAGGAUCAACAUGAAUUGCUUAAGGUGGACUACGGUGUUUUGAAAGGCCAAUAUAAUUCGCUGGUGGACGAAAAUGCAAGGUUUGUUACUAAGUGGAAAGAAGUGAAGGUAGCGAUUGGCAAGUGUGAUGCAUGGUUAAUAGUUCCAAUGUUGUUCCAGUAGACGAGGGCCUUGCAACAUUGAAUACUGAGCUGCCAGCAGUGCCUUCUACUGAGGAUGCGGUGCCGGGUAGUGGUGUAGAGCAUGCAACACCAACUGAGGAGGACCCCGCAACGCCUUCUAGUUAUAGGGAUUGAGUUUUGUACUCUUUUCCCUCUAGUUAUCUAUGUUUUGCUUCUUAGGGAGGGAGGCCGGUUGAGUUUUGGGUUUAUUGUUGUUUCUCCCGGCCUAUUAGCUUUAGUGAAAAACUUGAGGGUUGUGCGGAUUUUCUUUUGUUAUGAUGAGAUUUGCGCUCCCUCUUCUUUUGGUGUAAUCUUUAGUAUGCUGUAUAAAGAAAAAACAAGUUUCUUUUUGUCUAGCUAUUGUCCUUGAUAUUAUAUUUUCUACCCAGAAUUUCGAUGCUCUAAAAAAUUUAUAGGUAAGCAAAAUAGAGGAAUCAUAAGAAAUUAGUUAAUUGGAAAGCAUUUGUGGCAACAAAAAUGACAUUAACUAGAUUGGCAAAUCAGCAACUGCAGAUUUAAGUAGAAGAACUUCUCUACUUUACAAAUCUGAAACAAAAUUCAAAUCAUUUCUUUGCCUACUUAUGGAACCAGUCCUAAGUAGAGAGGAGUGGUAGAAUAUUAUCAAAAUGCCACUAGAUUAGGUUCAAAUGAAUAAGUUAUAAUCAAUGCUGAAAUAUACAUUAGACAUAAUUGAGGAGUUCGAAGUAUUCGAUGAAUUUAAACCCAACUUAAAUAAAAAAAUAUUCUCAAUGCAGCUCCAAGGAGUGGAAAUUUCAGCAAGAUCGGUAGGUAUGAACUCUAAAAACUCUAAAAACUCUAAAACAAGUAAUCAAACAUGCUCGAAUAGUUGAAACUGGUACUUCUCUAAAAUCUGCCAGCAUUUAACAAAUUCUAGAUUUAAGCAAAAUUAAUACUACCUACCUUACUAUCCAGCUAGAAAAAGGUUUCCCCAGAUUUGUCAGCUCACAAUGAAACAAGAAAAACAAAGAAGCUGCCACUCUACUCGAAGAUGAAGUUGAAAUAAAAUUUAGAAUCAAAUUCUAACAAACACUCAUUUCGGAUACAAAAUCCACUAGAAACAUCAAGUCAGCUUAACUAACCUAUCCACCAAGCUAGAAGCAAUUCCAAAAUGACUAGGAAUGAAGGAAGAACCAGCCAAAAUUUACUCCUAAAGUUCAGCUACAAGAAUGGACUAAAAACAUUAACCAAAUCCACAAACACACAACUUCAGCUCCCUCAAUUAAACACCAACUCACAUGAAAUUUAGCUGAAAGAAUUGAUCCCGUAACUCCUCUUUAUCAGAUAAUCAACAAGCACAUCCCAAUUUGAUAAUUAAAAGCUCCUAUGUCACCUAAUUUUGUUUGCAGCACACACCUUGACUGUUCCUGCUGCAGAAUCUACUGCUGCUGGCUGCAGCUCAACUUGCUGCUACUGCCGAUUGCUGUCCACUGCAACUGAUUGCUGUCUUGCUGCUGCUGGCAUCAGGUAGUGUUGCUGAAAUUGCUUGAAUGCUGGCAGCCAGCAAGGAGAAAAAUAGGAAAAGGGAGAGAAGAAGAGAAAAAUAGAGGAGGAAAGAAAAGAAGGCAAUGAGGAGAAAGAAGAAGAAAUGAAAGGAAGGGAGAGUGUACCAGCUAACUACUACCAGCCAAAAACUCCAAUUAGUUAUUAGAUAAAUACAGCAAACAAUAUGUCAGAAUGAUUAUUACCAGCCAAAAACUCCACUUAGUUGGUAGGUAAAGCAAACAAUAUAUCAAAAUAGUGUCAUAUAGUUCGGCAAAUUAUAUUGCAGUCUACAUGCUCUCCAAUGAACACUCUGGAACCCCAAUUCGCAACGGGCACGAAAAUGAGCAAUACAAGAGUAGCAUACCAUAAAUUAAAACUUGAAUUAUGAUUGCACAUAUUAAUUCGGGCCAUCAGUUUUAUAAUAACACAAGUAACAUCUUGCUAACUAUAAGAUAUUAAGUAUAUUUAGGAAAAGAUAAUAGGGAGUUAUGGAAAUGUUCGUCGACCAAAAUUACAAGACAAUAAUUCAUAGGCAAAAAGAAAAAAAAAAGAAGAAGAAUAAACUGAUUGUGAUAUUGCCCUUCAUUUAUUUUUUUUUAAAAGGUAAUAAUAUAGUAAAUUAGAAAUUUAAAUAAGCCAAAGAACACAAAUAGGUAAACAAACACAAGAUCCAACCUUAGAAGCUGAAAAAUAAACUAAGGUGCUAAGAAUGUUUCAUAAACAGGUUACAUAGCUUCUUAAGACAAUACAAGGGUAUACAGAUCUUUACUUAUUAAAUACUUGAAUAUUGCUUAAAUGUACAUCAGAAUCUGAAGAAAAAUUUGAUGCAAAAAUAUGGAGAAUUUAUCUGCAAAAAGAAGAGUAUAGGCUCCAGCAAAUCCUAUUUUCCAUAUAUUAUUUGGUAAAAAUAUAUUGAAUUUAUCUAAAUUAUGACUCAUUCUGAUUCGUAUAAUUUUAUUUUAAAAAAAUUAAUUUUGCAACUUUACCUUUUGACUUAUUUCAUUUGACUUAUUUAGUAACUCUUAUAUUCCAAAAUUUGAAGGAGUUGUUUACAUCUAUGAGCUUAAUUAACACAUUUCGCAUAAUUUAUAUGACUACAAAUCAACAGAUUGAGUAUAAUUGAUAGAUUGAGUGUUAAAAUUUAAAUUUUAAAAGAUUGGGUCGUUGGUGAAAAUUGGCUUCGAAAUUUACACAAGUUGUCGAAAUUCAUGCUGCCAGAUGCAUUUGAUCUUACUCAGGGCAUUUCUAUGAAAUGCAGAAUUGUUUCUAAUGAGGAGAAAGCAGCUAUUUCUUUCUCUGCUUUUCUGCUUUGCCUAUCAAUUGUUUUGUUAUCCAUAUGUUUAUUUUACUACUUUUUAGGAAAUAUUUUCUUACUUGGACGGAGGAUUCAGGAUCGGUAGUGUGAUGACCUUAUCCAGCCAGAUGUGAUUUUGGAAAAGUUGAUGAAAAUUGAGGCAAAUAGAUUUAAAUUUGGUUGUGUAAUGAAAUUGCUACUUUACCCAACUGUUAAAAGGUUGAUAGCUAAGAAGAUGUUAAUUUAACGUAGAAGAUGCUCUACUAUCUUUCCUUCCAUCAUGAUGCCCUUAUCCCUAAUAUUAUACAUUUUAGACUAUGCUGUCAAAAUUGCUCUAGUUUUUAGUGUUAUAUUUUCUUCUUCGACUGUAAAUUCAUCUUAUAUUCCUUUUGGGAAAAUAUAAACGAAUGUAUUAUCAGUUCCGUGGAAGUGAUGUCAAUUGUGUUUCCUUUCUCUUUAUACACUUUCCUUCGUUGCUUUUGAGGAUUGAAAGAAGAACCCCACUGAUGAGAUUUGUUGAAAAAAAUUUUGAGAAUCCCGAUAUGCCAAAUUUAUUAGCACCUCAUCUAUCACAUUUCAAUGAUUCAUUUGCAGUGUUUAAUGUUGUGUUGUUAUUUUAACUGUUUGCAUCAAACAAUUUAUGUUACGCCCCGAGCCCGCCUCUUUGGUCGGAUUCGGGCACGCCGACAGACUGCCGAACGGACAGAGUCUCCCCUGUACGUACAAGGCAUCGCAAUCAAUACAGUACAAGAGGUUCCAACUAGGAACAAUAUUCAAGCAGAGAUUGCAUAAGGAAGUAUCAAAAACAUAGACAACUAGCUAUUACAAGCAUUCGUCUCAAUUUAACAUUUAGAUUACAAAUUACAUUGCUUUAACUAAAUUCUUACUCCCAAAUUGUAAGGACCAAGAUUUUGGUAGUGUAGCUAAACUCUCAGUUGACGAUAUUUUUGUGUGUAAUUUAAUUACAAAAGCACUCGUCGAGUUUCAGGAGAAACCGAGUUAAAUCGGAGAUUCUACGCGAUUUCCAAGUUUCACUUAAAGUGAAUAGUAACUCGAUUUUCUGGAGAAGCCACGGUGUGAAGUUGGCUUCUGGCGCGUAUCGGACUCCGUUCAUAGCAGUCCAAUAGCUCGUUUCGAACGGUUUGGUCAUUCUAGAACCGAUGGCGCUAACGGAUUUUGAGUUUGAGGUACGAAUUUCGAGAAAAUUCGAAAAUACAUGUUUUAUAUGUAUUUGUGCGUAGUUUCUUUUGUUGGAAUGAUGGACUGAGUUCGUCGCGAAUCCGAGACCGAUCAAGGAGAAACGAAAUCGUAGCUUUGUGGUCUCCGUCGUGUUGAUCGCACUGGUGCAAUCCGUUCGCAAAUCGGACGGACGGAUCUGCGGAGAUCGCGCGUUGAUCGAGAAAAGGUCGGUGUUGGCAAAACGGUAAUUUCGCAAAAGUUGCGACAUUUUAUGUACCGUUUUACGCGAGAUCGCACGUGGAGGGGUAUUCUCGCGUUGUUCACACGCUGUGAGGGAUUUAGUUUGAAAUACUGAGGUUUCGUGGGCUAACUUGCAAAUCGGCACCUUGGUAUAUAUAGAGCUUUUAGGGUUUCUUCCACCUAACCCUAGACCUUAGCCACGCCCUCAGCCACUUCUUCUAUCUUCCCUGCCCUAGCCGCACUUCUCCCGGUCGCCGCCGACCGAGCCCCGGCCGGCCAACAGCAACCGCAGCCUCCUCAGCCACCUUUUUCUCUUCCCUCUUCAUCCCUCUCCCUCUAUCUUUCUUCCUCUCGGGUUGCGGACAGAUCUGAGGCUGCAGUCAUCUCCCUGCACCAUUCCGGUGUCGCCCCUGUGCCCUGGCAAGCCUCCCCGCCGACCGCCGUCACCUCUGGGCAUCGCUACUGCUGCUGCUGCAUCCUGCGCCCAGCUUGGCCGAGCCCAGGCAAAGCUGACCGUGCGGCCUUCCCCUCGCGUCGCCGCCACCCCGGGCCAACCUUGAGGCAUCUCCUCCACCUCGGGCAGUCGGCCGCCGUCACCCUGAGCCGCCCGGAGCGCCGCUGCAGCCGCACCAACCGCCUGCUGCCUUCUAGACUGAGCCCAGGCCGAGGUAGGUCUGCGACCUCUUCCCCGCGCCGCCACCACCUUGGGCCACCCUGUGGCACCCCCUCCGACCUCAGGUGGUCGGUCACCGCCGCCCUGAGCCGUCCCGAGCGCCGCCACCGCACUAGAGUCGCCCUGCGGGUUUUCUGGCAAGCUCGAUCCGAGCCGAGCUUGCGGCUCCAUCCUCGCAUCGCUGCUGCCCGGAGCCACUUCCUCGGCUUCCCUCUGGCCUCCUGCAACCCUCUGCCGCCGUCCUUGAGCGCCACGGUCACUGACGUGGCCACAGUUGUACUUGGAGCCCGAACCGGAUCUUGUGCGGGCUCGGUUUGCUCCGCCGUCACCGCCGCCGCUCCUCGCCGCCAACUGUGGUGAGCACCACACUCCUCACCUCCCCCGCACCCAUCGCUGACCCUCGCGCACCUCGCGGCGCCGCCAGAAGCCGGCCGGAGCAAGCUUGCUCCGGCCAAGCCCGAAAUAGGGCUUAGUUGGGUAGGUUUGCGGUUCCGAGCUACCCGAGGCUCCCCGACCUCUGCGGAAGGGAGCACGGUGAUCGUGGCAACUUUCUAAUCAUCGUGCUCACCUUAGAUUCUGUCGGGGAGACUCCGUUCUGCUGUUUCGGCGGUGUCGACCCUGUUGAGCCUUUUCGGCUGCUGUUCCGUGUUUGUGCACGUUUUUUCGGCGAUCCGAGGCUGUUCCAAUGCCUUCGGAGGUAAGCACAGUGAUCCUUGGUCAGUGCUGAUCACAGUGCUCACCUUACUUUGGAUCAGCGGAUGUCGUAUCGGCCUGUUCGGCGCGAUUUUCCCCGACUGCACGCUGUUCGCUAAACCAUCGGGUACCUAUCGGUAGGGCGAGAGAGUUUUGGUCAGGACGGUAGUUCAAGCUUAGACCCGAGUACGUGGAAUGUCACGUGUUAGAAUGCGAGACCGAUGAUGCACCGAGUGUGUAGUGACCCAACCCAAGGAUUUGAUAUGGAUUGAGGUCUUGAUAGCUCCUGGUUGGAGUGUGUGCGAAUUCUCCAAUGAGAAUGUCGCCCGAGAAUGUUGAUUGAGUCUGCGCUUGCGAGCGAGAGAUGCUAGGCAUCGUUGAGACGAGCUAAGUGAUUGACCUACGCAGGAUUGGUGGCCUUAGUUCGCCUGAGGAAACCGACGGUCGGUAUAGCUGAAAACUCUAAUAGUGAGUUGGGCUUUGAUCCGCGAACGAAGAGUUCGUGUGGAGGUGAACGUAGCCUAAAAUGUCAAGGGAUAAAGAGAAAGUAAAGUGGUCUCUAGGAGACACUUGAAUAAUGGAUAACCACGCGAAAAGUUGGCGUUGAGAAUGAUACUCUCAAGAGGAUUGAGAAUCCAAGAUGCACGAGAGAAUGCCAUCUCACGAUAGAUGGGAAUGAGAUGGUACAGAUAAGAUGAUAAGGUGGUAUCGGGCUCCUAAAUAGCCAACGUGAUGAAGUGCCACCGAGUGGUUACUUGAGUAAUUCGAGAAAGUCUACCCAUGCAUAUAGAGUUGUGGUGGUAGAUCAUUCAUCGAAGUGAUGCGAUCUUGCUGGAUCCACACCACCGGGAUGAAAGGGUAGCCCUGAUCUCGAACGGUGAUGAUGUUCGCUAGAACCGCGAGGGAAUAGGUCCUUCUUCAGCCGAGUGGCUAGUGAAGAUAGUGUGUGUGGGGUCUUGAAUAUUGACCCACACCGCCAGUGAGGUUUGUAAAGUGAUAAUGCACUUUUGAUGUUGCAAGAGGAAAAUGUGAGUAAACGUGGUCUCACGUUCUUCGUAGUGGGCCUUUAAAUGAGUUCGAUGAGAAUAAAGGCCACUCCGAAGUACAAAAGUGCAUUAGAACCCUUGAGAACUCGAGGAGUGGAUCGAGGAAUAAAGAGGGUAAGAACGAGUGAGUUUCGAGGACAAAACUCUUUUAAGGAGGGGAGAAUGUAACAAUGUGAACUCUCGAAAUCCGAGGGUUGCGCCUCGACUAGAAUUGACUAAGGGUCGAAUGGAUAAGCUUUGGAAAAGCUAAGGAUGCACGAAAUCCGAGAAGUGCAUUGGAAUGGGGUCCGCGAGAGCAAACAAUGCAAUCUGCAUUUUUGGGCUAAGAUUGCUCUCGGGGACCGAUCUCUGGAGGUGAGAGACCAGUCCCAUCAACUGAAGGCUGCGGGGGUUGCUGAUGCAACCGGUCCCUGGCAGAGGAGGGACCGGUCCCAGCCUACGACACCAGUGAGAAGAGAGCCGAAGAUCGGCUAAGUCCCAAGAGUUUAGCUCUCGGGAACCGGUCUCUCUGAGAGGAACCGGUCUCCCGAGGACCGGUCCUCAGGGAGGGACCGGUUCCCGAACGCGUGUCCGCGGGGGGAGGCCCCGGGGACCAGUCCCUGGUCGGGGAGAUCGGUCCCUCAGCGCGCAGAACGCCCAGUGAGGGCUGUGUAAGAGAUGAAAAGUGGAGGGGCUUAUGUGCAAAAUGGCCAUAUGAGGGGUUAUUUGAGAGAUGCCUUUCUCUCUCUCUCUGUCUCACUCCCUCACACUCUACCUCACAGUCUCUCUCUCUCUCUCUCUCCGUUCGUAGCAGAGGAAAAAGGAAAAGAAAGAAGAGAAAGAGAAGAGAAGAAGAAAAAGAGAAAGGAAAGGAAAAGAAGAAGAGGACCAAGGAGGAGAUCCUCUUCCUCAUCUUCAUCUUCAUCUUCUUCUCUCCAUGGAGCUCUUUGAGAGGUAACCUUGGAGCCCUCUUAUGGUAAAUCCUUAAAGAUAGGGUUUUGAUCUCUAGAAAUGGUAUUUUUGGUACCCUAGCAUGCCUCUAAGAUGGAUUUACCCCAAAUCCUAGAUUGAUUUGGUGGAUUUGUUGGUAAUGGCAUCUAGGGCACCCAAAAUAGGGUUUUUGUAAAUAGAUGAGUUUGAUCUCAUUUGACCCUUCGUAAACCUAAUUGGUAGGUAACGAAACACAUUGGCGAAGUCGGUUCGGCAAUCCGACAAGCCGUUGCGAAGAUAUUGAAGAAACGGGCGCUCAGAGCUUCGUUUCCGCCUGGGAGGCCGAGGCGACGUCCAUAAAUCGUGAAAUAGGGUCCCGAGCACCGUAGCGGCAAGGCGAAGAUCGCUAGCACUUGAAACGGCGAAGCGGCGAGCUCGAGGGGAGCAACUGUGAGAUCGGGCCCAAACGGGUGCCGAGUGCCGCGGGAGGCCGAUUGCAAGUGUCGACGAGCAAUCAGAACUCGUGUUAAGGUGGGUUGUGCUUACAGAAGCGACUAGGUCGCCCUUUAUGUCUUAGCAAUGUAUCUCCAUGUUGAUGCAUGUGCAUGUAGACGAGGACAAGAAAUGCAUGAUGAAUGAUAAUGCAUAAAGUAAAGGCUAAGUAGAGAAUGCAUAAUAAAUAGCAAGCAUGAUAGCAUGACAUGUAAAUAAUGCUAGCUAAGGUAAAGGAUGCACACUAAUAGUAAUGCAUGGAUGGAAAUGCUAAAUUGAAUGCAUGAUGAACAAAGAUGCAUAGAGUAAAUGCCAAGUAGAAAGCAUAAGUUAAUAACUCUAGUGUGAGUAGAGUUGAUUGGACAACUAGGUUGUCAGGUAGAUCGAGUGGCACCUAACCUAGUGUUAAAGAACAUAGGUUAAACAAGUGAACCUAGAGUCGAACAAUCUAGGUGUGUGGCAUCGAACCUAGUGUUAGUAAACCUAGGUCGAACUAGUAAACCUAGAAGUGGACAACUAGGCCAAGAUGACAAAGACCUAGCAAGUGUAUCUAGGUUAAGUGACGUGGACAUAGAACCUAGAGUCUUGGAACCUAGGUUGAUGAGUAUAGUGGUAUAGCCACUAGGAUGAGUUAGGUCGAUGAUAUAGGGUUUGUUAUGAACCCUCAACCUAUGGAAAGUGGAUUUCGGGAUCCCAGGACUUUUGAUGUCCCUAGUACAAGCUAGGGCGUGUGUGCAACGACUUCGCCACCGAGCUUGGUACUGUGGGUAGAUUGGGCGUGACCACGUGGAGAUCACCGCCCGGGGCUUGAACCAUUGCCGUGGUGUUUGUGCGACGAUUUCGCCGCCAGGAUGGUUAAGCCAUUUGAGGAUCAGACCGCCAGAGCAGACUGAAUCCAUGCUGGGUAAGUACGAUGCGGGUGCCUCCAGGUGGCUAAGUCUGACAUGUACCGUUGUUGGGUGUGGUGCGACCCGUUCGCCGCCAGACGGUGUGUCAGAACCCAAGCUCACGCUGGGUAAGUGCAACGCGAUCGCCACCAGGUGGUCAAGUCGUGCGACUUGAGCCGAGCUUAGCGUGUGCGACGACUUCGCCGCUAGUGGGCUGAGAGCGGUAGGCUGAUGAGCAGCCGGUGCGCGGGCUAUCCGCGGAUGAUUGACUCGAAGCCGAGUCGGGUGGUUAGCUUCGAUAAGGUAGAGGAACCCUUAUGAGCUAGAGAUAGAGGCUUGAGCUAAGGUGAUAAAGACCUUAGGAGCCAGGGGACUCGAGUGUGAAUCUAAGGUAGUAGAACCUUAGAGUAAAGAUAUGAGCUAAGAGUAGCCAAGUAAAUGUAGAAUCUAAUGAUCUACUAGUUGUUGCAUAGAGUUGCAUGAUUUUCAUAUCGCAUAUCGUGAGGCAUGGCAUGUAUUUCAAUUGAAUAUAUAUCUGUUGUAUAUUGUUGAACUAACAUGUUGCAGUGCCUCCUCGGACCUAUCGGUCGAGCUUUUCCCUUGGGUAGCCGUACCUAUUGGGAACCAUGGAGUUGGUUCUCACCCCACGUGAUUUUGGGGUGUUUUCAGGUUGUACGUGUGCAGCGCGGUGGCGCGAGGCGAGGGCGUAGCUCAGUAGAUAGCGCCCUACCACAGAGACCAAGGUAGCAGUACCAUGAGGCAGUCUAGCUUAGGGGACUAGAAAACUAGAAUCAAGAUGUAUCAACUUGUAAAUUAAAUGAUGUAAUAAUUAGAUUGUAAUUUGGAAGUAAAAUGUAACUGAGUUGUAUUAAGUGAAUGCGAUUGAAUGCUUGUAAUAGCUAUUAGUUUUAUGUAUUUGAUACUUCCUUAUACAAUCUGGAUUGAUAUCCGUUCCUAGUUGGAACACUCAUUGUAUUGUUUGGAUUGCGACGCCUCGAACGUACAGGGGAGACUCUGUCCGCGUACAGGGGAAACCCCAGUCCGUUUGGCGGUCUGUUAGCGGCGCCGCGACCCGGUCCAAAUUGGCGGCUGGUCGCGGGACGUGAUAGUUACAGUGAAUGUUGCACUACUAUUACGACCGUAUUGCACUCUUACAAGUUUAGUUGUACUCUUUUAUCCCGCGUUGGACUAUUUUUCGGUUUUUACGGAUUUGUUUUUACUAUUAAUUACAUGUUAUCAUCGAUUAGGGAGAGAAUUUUACACUGCUUAAUAACUCGUUGCAGAAUUAAUGUUAGGCAAAUAUUACACCAUUAAUAGCGACUUGUUCCAGCUAGUGUUCCACCCGUUAUGCUACACUGGUUGGAACUGCAUUGCACUGUUACGAUGAGUGUUGCACUAUUAGUAAGAAGCGCAGUGCACUCUUACAAGCUUGCUUGCACUCUUUUACCCCGCGUUGUACUAUUAUUCGCGUUUUACAUUGCACUAUUAUUUAACUGCUCUAAGCAGAAAGUAAGCUUUUUUAAGAGAUGUUGCAUGAUAUUCCUUAAUCAUUUAGGUGUUAUGUUGCACCUCCCGAACGCCGCCCCCGCCACUGCCAAGUGACUGGGGACGCGAUAUACGACCACCCUCCUGCCCCCGUCGCCGUGCAUUUGGAGGGGACGUCGUUCGUCACCGUAGAAAAAUUUAUGGACUUAUUUGUCAUAUUGUCUUCAGAUUAUAUCUUCAAAUACAGAGAACGAUCAGUAUUUUAUUUUAUUUAUUGCACAAAUUCGGGGAAUGUUACACCACGUCGAGCAUUUUGUUGAACUAGUUCCUUCGAGCCUUUUGUAGAACUAGUACCUUAUGGGGGAGUGGGCAGAAGCGGUGGUGAGGGAGAAGAUUGAACGCCAACGUUGGUCAUCUGAGCGGCGGAGAUUGCAUUAGUGCGAGUCGAAGGAUGCACUAUUAGAAGGACUGUUGCACCAUUUCUCCUCGCGUUGCUCCGGGGUGUUGCACUAUUAUCCCUGUUACGGGCCACGUAAUUCUUGUCUUUUAGCUUCGAAAAAUUUAUUUUCUUAAAGCCGAACAGCAAACAGCUAGGCUGGCGAAUAGCGGGGCGGAUUUGGUUUGGGUACCGAAAAUGAGAGAGGUUGCGUAAAGCGCAAGGGGCGCAUUUAAUGCCCGUCAAGACCGUAUGUCAGGGUACACGUAUCUCAGAGAAUAUGCGAGCGGCGGAUGUAGAUGAGGGGCAUUUUGGUCAGGCGGCUGAAAAUCCGACCCGAAAUUGUAAAAUCGAAAAAGGUGGCCCACUUUUGCAAAAGUGCAAAACUAGUGGAAUUUUUAUGCAAAUUGGCCUAUUUUUAUUGGGAAAAGUCUACCUGUACUCCUAUAGGAAGGUGUAUAUCCUACACCCGUAUGAUCCAACGGNUCUCCUCUCUCUCUCAGUCGCUCGCUCGCUCACCUCUCUCUCUUUAGCUCGCUGCCUCGCUCGCCCGCCUCUCUCUCUCACGCUACCGCGCUCGCCUCUCUCUCUCUUUAGCACGCUGGCGCCAAAAUUUAGGGCAAAAGAGGGAAAACGUGAGGGGAUAAAAUGUGGGAGUGAGGUUAACACUGAUUUUUUUUUGUUUUCAAACUAAGUUUAUAUCAGCCGUUAGAUCAAGGAGUUGUAGGAUCUACAACUCUAAAUGGGGUGUAUGGGUAGCACGACUCUUUUUAUUGUUUAUCAUUUCAAGUACCAAAGUGUAGGCGUGUGGGAUAACCAAUGGGCAAGGACUUGUUAGAUAGAUUUCUUUUUACGAAUACUUAGUUUUUCUUUUUUAUGUUAAAUUGAAUGGAAUGAUUGUUAUCCCUAUUCAUUAUAUUUGGACAAUUAAUAAUUAUUACUCAAUUCUAUUUUAAUUAAUAAACUUUUUAAUGUAGUACCAAAUAGGGAAUGUGGCUUUGAUUCUAUUUAAGUUCUUUUAUUUUUGGGGCUUUUUUUUCGGAUUCAUAGUCAAUUGUUGCAGUUCAGUUCAGAUCCAAAUAUUCGGAUCCAAAACGUGACAUGGACGUUAUCGGGUUUUGGAGCGUGGAUAUAUAGAGAAUUUUGACAGCUCUCUUCACGUUCGAGAAGUGACAAGUGAAAUAAGACAAAACUCUUGGAAGAUACAAAAGUAUUAAAAAUUAGAAUGAUCCAAGAAAACUUGUAAGACAAACAACCUAAUCCGAUUCUUGAAUACGGUGGCUAUAUAUUCAGUUUCUUAGUUUCUGAUGCCCACUCUUUCUAACACACAUUUUGCCUAUUCCCAUACAAAAAAUUGGGAUAGACAAAACUUUUUUUUGUACAAUAUGAUUGCCAAGUUCAAAUAUUGUAAAAGACAAAGUGUUCAAUUAUAUAAAAAAUAUAUAAAAAAAAUCUUUUUAAUAGUCUAGAAGAAUCAAGACUACAGGUUUACAUUUUUAUUUUAAAGUCUUUUAGCUAGUUUGAAUUUCAAAAAUCAUUGUCACUGCCGCAUCUACAAGUUGUGAGUGUAAAGGCUAGAGUAAUAAGUUUCUUCAAACAUUAUAACGAGGCCAAAUUGCGAAAACAAUCCACUACAAAGUAAUUUAGGACAGAUCUCUUAACAAUAUUGUUGGUCGAAAAUCAUAAGAAGAUAAUCGCUAUCGUUCAGCUUACUAUUCCGAUUUAUUUACGAUAAGCAGGCAAUGUUUUAUCUAAUUAAGAAAAAGGAGAAAGUGUGUGACGACUGGGCAGCACUUUGCCAAGACAGAAAGGCCGCUUCAAAAAUUGUGAUGGCAGUUGUUACACUCCAAUCCCGAGGCGUAAUACAAAAAAUUAGUAUCAGAGGCGAAUAUCAACUAGAAGUGUAAGAGCUAAGUACUAUAUAAGACAAAGUGUCACACCAACGAAUUUGGUGAGAGUUGUUGGAUAUGGCCCACAUGAUUUAUUUAAGGCGAUUUAUAAAGUUACAGUCGGUUUAUUCAAGUUGAUCUAUAGAUAUGAUAGAUCUAACGGUUAGAAUGUAUAUGGACACGUGCUUGAUGGACGGACGUGAUUUAAUAUCCUCACAUUAAGUUAUAUAUAAAUAUGUAACAUACGAGAGUCCCGGUCUAACCAUAAUCCAAUUUUCUGUGACGGCUCCAUCUCCGGAGAUAAGAAAAUUACACUCGAAACGUGCCGUUUUCUUGUACAUCGCGAACGAGAACGAACCACGAGCAAAAAUCGCGCCUACAAAUCGGAAUCAUGGCAGAAUUUAUAAUAAAGUUUCAACAGGAGUCACCUCUUGAACCCGUAGGAGCUAUUUCUUAAAUCUCACAUCACAUAAUAAUUCUGAUCUGUAUAUCUAUGAUCUGAAUUUGGACGUGACGACAUAUGAGGCAUAUACGCUACUAAUAAUAACCGAACUUAAUUAUUUUAGACCGACGGUUUGGAUUCAAUAAAUUAUUGUUGCUAGUGGGUCGAGUCACUAUAAUAAUAGUGGUAAAAAGCACGCAGAUCUCAUGGUCACAGGGCCUAAUUUUACUUCUUUUUUUAACAAAGCAAGGAUUGCAUGCAAACCCAAUCCCCGCCUUCUUAAUUGGUCAGUGCAGCUCAUUACUUCAUCAUCACCGCUCGCCAUAUUAUUAUUACUAGGAUGGUAACCUGAUGCGUCGGGUGUUUUUUAAUUUUAUAUAAUAAAUUUUAUCAGAAAUAUUUAAUAAUUUUUUAAAAAAUUGUAAAGAAAUAAAAAAAUCUACAUGUGCAUAACCAAUUUAACAUUUUAUUCAAGUCUAAGAUGCUGUCAUGCCCCGGGACCUAGCGGAAGCCCGCCCGGAACGUAUCCAGACCCGCCGUAUGUCUAAAACAUAUAAGGCGUCUAAAACAAAACGAUAAAUAAGACAAUAAAAGAGAACAUCUAGAAGCAUCAGAGCAAGGUAUAUCUAGAAGCUACAAUAAGGGAAAAGAAUAUAAAAGUAAAUCCACUAAGAGAAAAAAUAUAAAGUAGUACAACGGAUGUCCCAAAAUAAGUGCUAGAAAGGUACAUAGGUCGUCUCUCUAUACAUGGUGCAAAAUUUCUUUCUCUAAUACAAUAAAAGAAAGAGUAAACCACCUAAGCUCAAAAGUAGCUUCUCUCUAUCUAGCUAGGCGACACCUUUGCCACGAUCCCAUGCCUCCGCCGGUGCCGAAGGCUCUGAAAUAAAACCACAAAAUAGAGGGCGUGAGAACUAUUAAAUAAUAGUUCCCAGAGGGCAAUUACUGACUUCAGUGAAAUGCGCCACUAGGCCCAAAAGCUACAAAAUAGGGGUCAGUGUAUAAGUCUAAACAAAAGGGAUAAGUACAACUAGUAAAUAAACAUGAAUACCUGCUACCACAAGAUAUUUCUAUUUAGCAUGAUUUUGGUCAAGUAAUAAAAAGGCUACACUAGUAUGAAUGUACCAAAUCAUCACUAGUAUGAUGUCCAUAAGCUAAAUAGUAAAGAUGUCAUUGUUUACUAUUCUAGUUAUUGUCCAUAUGUCAUGAUGAAUGCUCAAAGUUAAAUCUAAAGAGACCAGCCCGAAGGUUGUCUGGCCCUGAGACCCAGCCGUAGGUUGUCUGGCCGGUGCCGAGCUUAAUAGCCCCGUGGUAGUCAACAUCCCCACCCUAUGAAUGAACCUAGCCCACGACAAUCCACUUCGACGCCCAAUCCUGCACGACCAAUAUGUAUCACGAUGGCUAUCUCCAGAGUGCCAGCUUGUAGGGAGCGAUCCUCACAAGCAUGUGCGAAUGAGCACAAUGGCAAGUAACCAAAAGAUUCAUCUCAAGUAUCAAGUCCUCAUGUCUAACAACAUGGAAUACGUCACAUCUCUCAUAGGCCUAUCUCUAUGUCAUUAUUUCUCUAAUAUGGAAUAUAAAAGAUGUCAAUGGCCUAUCACUAAGUCUCAGAUAACAGUUUCAUAGUUUGCUAGUCCAAGUGCCCCUUUAUGACACUUUUGGUCUCUAUGUCCAAGCAUGAUAAUUAUGAUCAUGAAUGCAUAAUUCUAAUCAUGUUCAUCGUACGAGACAAGUACCCAACUCGCUAAAGAACCACUUCUCAUAUGCAUGCUAAAAACCCAGAAUACCCUACUACAUAGAGUGAAAAUUUCAUGAUACAUAAGGCAUGCAUUUUAAGUGUUCUAAAAUUCACAUAAAUUCUAUUUAGCAUGGAUUUGAUGUCAAAUUGAGAUUACAAGUACAAAAUGCAUAUGGGUCAUUUUGCUCCGUUUUCAUGAAGUCAAACCCACCACAACUCUUACAACUCUUCGUAAGCUUCGACGAAGAUGCCCACUAGUCUCCUAGCACCCUAAAGAUGUAGAAACAAGAGUCAAACGGACCUUACGAACAACACAGAGCUCAAUCAUUAACCAUCUCAAGCUAAGGUGGAGAAAAACUUACCAAGUGUCAAGGAAGCUCUCUCGAUCUCCAAAUGGGAGUUAGAGUCCUUCAAAUCCAACCUAAACUAAGGUUCUAAACCCAUCAAUUAGGUCUCAAAGCCCUCAAAUCGAAAAUCCCCAAAAUAAACCCUAAAAUCCAAAUCUAGGGUUUUAUUUAGUAAAAAGUUCCAAAACUAGGAUCUAGAGGAGAGGAACUAGCCACAUAUCUCUAGGAUGCUCCAAACCAAGCUCAAAACCCUCAAGGAUUGGAGUUUGAUCCUCUACAAAGCUCCAAGUCCAAACUCCAAGCCUCCAAUGGUGAAGAAAGAGAGAAAGGGUUGAUGCUCCAAGCUCCCUCAAGCAAGCUCUUCCUCUCCUCCUUCUUCUUCCUCUUCUUCUUCUUCUCUUUCUAGAGGUGUGAGAGAGUGAGAAGUGAGGGAAAGAGAGAGAGGAAAUCGCUCUAAAAGCCCUCUAAAGCAACAAAAUCCAGUUAGGUCCCUCAAUAAUCCGUCCUAUGCACUGCCCUAGUCUGGGCAGUUUUCGGGUGGAGGGACCGGCGCGCGGUCUCUCCCUUCAGGGACCGGUCCCUAGGACCCUCCAGCCAAUCCCGCGUACGGGAACCGGUCCCUCAGUCUGGGGACUGGUUGCAUUACGCAACCGCCGAAUCCAAGCUACGGGGACCGGUCUCUCCCACCAAGGACCGGUCCCCGAGAGCUAAAUUCUCAGGAAUAAGUCCAAAACUCCAGUCUUCGAACUUUUAGGUUGAAAUACCAUCUACGACCCUUCACCAAGUGUGGAAAAGCUCGGAAUCCAAGUCAAGCACUCGAACCUCGCAAUUUGCACAAAUCCAAUGUGUUACAGAUGCUUAAAGAAAAAUAACGCAAAAAAAAGUGAUAGAAUUAAAAAGAACAAAAAUAGAAAAAUUUAAAGGAAAAACAGUUGACAUUACAUUAAAAAUAUAAAAAUAAAAGUAUAAGAAAGAUAAAAAAGAAGAAAAGAAAUAUCAUAAGAAAAAUAAAUCAUAUUUACAGUAACAUACGACACGUCCACUAAAAAAAAAAUCUUUUGUAGCUAAUCAUUUAGUAGAAAAAAUUAAAAAACUAUAUCAUAUACUUCUUAGUUUGAGUAAGAAAUUGUAACGCAUAAAAGUUCAAGGAGUCAAAUUUCAUGCAUCUUAUUAUUUGAUGACCAAAAGCACAAUUUAUAUGUUUUGUUUUUAUUUUAAAAAAAGACAAAGUUGAGAAAUGAUCAUUUUCUUUAAGUAGUAAUUUUAUAUAAGAAAAUUACAUGAAUUUUAGAAACCCUAAUUGUUAAAAUUAAAACUCGAUCAAUCAAACUUUAGAUAUUUCAAAAAAUUUUAAAUGUAAAAUUAAUCACUCAUGGAAUUAUAAAUAUUGUAUUGAAAUUUGACAGUAAAAAUAUAUAAAACUUUUCUGAAUUAUGAACCAUUUUGAAUCAUCUAUCCAACUUUCAAAAACUUUUAUUUUUAUUAUUUAAUUUUUCUAUAUGUUAGAUUUGAGUUAAUCGAUGGUACUUUAACUUUAAAAUUUGAAUGUGUCGCUUAACUUAUAUUUAGUUAGUAUAUUUUAUGUAAUUUUCGUAAUUAAAUUUAUUAAAAUAAAAAAUUAACUUAAUUAUAGUAUUUUUAAUUUUUUAUUAUAUUAUUUAUAUCUAAAUAAUUCUAAAAUUAAAAUUUAUAUUUAAUACAUACAAUCUAAAAUAUUUAAAAUUUAGGCAUAAAUAAUUAUAUAUUUUAAAUUUUUAUAAUAAAAAAAUUAAUAAAAUUUUAAAAAAAUUUUAAAAUUCUCUUCUCUAUAUGUAAAGAGAGAGAAGCGAGGAAAAAAAAAAAACUCUUGCCCAGCCCCUUUCCCCACGCUCCCCCGAGCGCGCCGCACCCACGCCGCGCCCUCGCCUGCGUCCCGCGCCGGCUCCCGCUCGCAGCCGCCCCCGCGCCCGCCCUGCGGUCCCGCCCCCUCGCUUUCGCGCGAGGUGGCGCAAUAGGAAAACUUUGAUUCCCAAAUUCAUAACUGUCUAAAUAAAUGUUAUGUUAUGGUAUGUUAUGGUACAUGAAUUUAAUGACAUGGGACGUCUCGUGCCCCAUCCCACCCCUGGGCAAAAAUUUUAUGACACCAUAUCCAAAAUUCUUUUUUGGGGAUCAUCUUGGAUGGGUGCCGUGUGGCACCCGAGCCACCUGGGCCACCGUCCCCGCUACUCUGCCUCUUGGGAGAGCAGUAGAUUUUUUCAGUGCACCCGGUGCACAAUUUUUUACUUUAAAAUUUUAAUUUUAAUUUUAAUUUUAAUUUAAUAUAAUAGAUAGAUAUUUUAUGAUGUUUAAAAAAUAUAUACAAAAGAAUUUUGAAUCCUACAUUCUAAAUUAUUUUACAUAUAUUUUUAAAAUAUCAUAAUAUAUAUUAUUAAAUUAUAAUUAAAAAACAAAAAAUAAAAUUUUAAAACGAAACUAGUGUCCAUAUAUAUAUAGUAUGAAUUAUACUAUAUAUAUCAAAUUAUAAUUUAAAAGUAAAAAAAAAUAAAACAAAAAAUAGUGCACCAUGUGCACCCAAAAAAAUCCGCCUGCUCCAUGGUGCCACGCGUCGCCAAUAGGGGGUGUUCCCAAAUUGGUUUUUAUGGACACAGUGUCCAUAAAAUUUUUGCCCCUUCUUAAUUGGUCAUAGUUGGUCAGUGCAGCUAAUUACUUCAUCAUCACUGUUUAUUAUUAUUAUUAUGAUGGUACAUGAAUUUAAUGACAUGGAACGUCUCGUCAAGGAAAGCUACAUUUUUGUUUUGGACCCCCAAGCUGUCGGAGCCCUGUCGUACGCAGAUGCAAAUCCAAAGCGCGUGGCGGUGGUAUAAACAGAAAAAAGUAAAAAAAAAAUAAAAAUCAAUUUUCAAUUUGCAUUGCUGCUGUCUAACGCAUUUUUUUACUUUAUUAUUUUAUAAUUUUAAAAAAAUCCAUAAAUAUAUAUUAAAAUAAUUUUUUUCUUAAAAAAACUAUAUAAUAGUAUCUUAUUUAAGAAUAAUUUUUUACAACAAAAUAAAAAUAACAUUAUAAAAUAAUUUAAUAUAAUUUUUUGAUCCAAUAAAUGACAAAGGAAAAUUUCAAACCAUAUUGCGGUAAAGUUAAAAUUAUGCUAAUAGUGAAGUAAAUUAUAGUUUACCCAAAAAAAAAAAAUCCAAUCAACAAAAAUAAAAUAAUUUUCCUAUUAAAAUAGUAUUUUUUAAAAAAAUAUUUUUAUAUAUUUCUAUGGAGAAUAUAAAUAUUCCUUGGUGAUAAUUGUUAUUUCAAUAUAAUUAUUAAAUAAUUAUAAGAAAAAAAAAAAAAAACUCCUUAGCAGCAGUGCACGCGUACUGUAUAACCGCAAGCAGGUGCGCCGAGUACGUGCCGGAGCUAUUACAGUGAACUAUCUGGGUUGAUCCAACCGCAGCAGGAGGACAAUAGGUUCCAGGCGCAAGACGUCCCCGCGCUGUCCAAGGGACAUGCAAAUUAACUUUGUCCAAUAUUUAAUUGGAGUUUGAUACGGAAAUUAUUCUCUCUUUUUCAGGCAAUUAAUUAAAGAAUAUUGAUUGAUGGAGGUAUCGGUGGCAUAUUUUGGGUCUGGGGAUCACUUGUUGGGACUCGGAUGGUUUCAAUAGUGGUCCAUAGUUAUUAAAUUAUGAGAUGAUUGUUGUAAUUCACAAGAUAAAAAAAAAUAAUUAUUAAAUUUUAAAUUUUAUAAAUUAUUGUACAAGUUGCUUGUAAGAAUAAUAUUAUCUUUAUUUAAAUUGUAGAACGCAGCGGAAAUAUUCGUUUAUAUCUUUUUCGCAAGUGACUCGCGUUAGAACACGAUAAAUCCUGAAUCGUAGAAGUUGAUUCAUGUAUCCUUGGUUCGUCCACGAAGGUUUCUAACACUCCAAAUCUACAGUAGAUCGAGCUACGAACAAACUAGGUCUAUAAUCCACCGUUCAAAACUCUCUAGAAGCAAUAGGUUAAUAGAGAAUGUGAUUUCUCUCUUACACAAGAUGCCUCAUGAAUUAUUCAUGAAUUUUAGCAUAUAUUUUUUUCUUUUUUUAAAUGAGAGAAUCGCGUGUAUAUUUAUAAGAGAUUCCAACAUCCUAAUAGGCAAGUAAAAGAUUACGUCGAACCUGUUUAUGAUUGCUAUCCUAAUAUGGCUAGAAUGUAUUUCUAAUUAGCUUAUCAAAUUAAAAGCGCGAUUAAAUUUAGUCCAAUUAAACAACAUAAUAACCGUUGGAUCGAGCUCGAUAAUAAGCAUACCUGAUUUGGUUUAACCAAAUGCCAACAUUUUCCAGUCGCAUAUAACGGUAUCGAUAUCAUUAUAAUUGUUAGAAAAUUGCGUACGGUAAAAACGCAGCGGAAAAGGAAAUCAAACAAAUUUGAUUUUGAAAACUCUCGAGAUCCAAUCUCAAAAACCACGUAAUUAGGAUUCCUCAUGGUCUUUAAAAUUAAAGGAGAAAAGUAAGAUCAAAUCUUUACCUUUUUUGUGGAUAGAUCUUCAUUUCAAUUUGAUGAUCGUGGAAUAGGGUUCUCUUGAAUCCGCACACGCGUCUGGCCUCUAUAGAUAUCCACACAAGGUUCUUAAUUUGAUCGAUGUCCUCACCGAGGUGCUAGCUCCCUUGCAAAAGGACGUCUAUUUGCUAGAAGAUGGAAGAGAAAGGAGAAGAGAGAUGACGGCUUGGAUUUUCCAAAAACUUCCGUAUUAUUAUAUAGAGGAAUAUAAUCCUUUUUUUUUAAUAAUAGAAUAACCAUUAAGGAUAACUACAAAUCUAGAUUUAAAUUUAUCAUUUCCUUAAUUGGUUAGAUCGAUCAAAUCCUAAUUUGAUUCGACUUGAAUUUUAUAUUAAUUUGAUCAUAUCAAAUUAAUAAUGCAAUAUUUGCACACAAGUCCUCUUAUAUUUUACUAACUAUUAGUAAGUCCUCUCUUAUAACAUUUAUACUUUAAUACCACUUAUUUGUAACAAUUAUAAAUUAAUACAAUUAUCAACAUAUUGACAAUUAGGUCCUCCAUCGAUUCAAUAAUCGCGAUCUAGCUAUCCGAUCAAUCACAACCUCUUAUGUGUGUGACCCCAUAGGUUCUACUCUGUUUGAUAGUGAGAUAUAUUUUGAUCACUAUCAACAAUAUCACUGAAACUCCUUUCAGUGGAUCAGAACAAUUCCAACUCAGCCCAAUGAGAAUUAUCGAUCAUCUAGAUAAUUCUCAUGAGUCUCACAAUCUACUAGUGACGCCUAGCAGCAUGUAGUGGAAUUCCAGUAGAAUGGAAUACUGAACCUCUUGGUGCAGUUACCGUGUGAUACAAUUCUUCUAUCAUGAGUCCCGACUAGACGGAGGUUAUGGAAUAACUCGUCAAACCCCAUCGUCUGUCAUAUGUUAAAUUUAUUCGACUCGAGUUUCUAAUAUCGGAAACCCUUUUUCGCUAUUAACACUGCCCAAGCCAAGGUCUUCUAAACUCGGUCUCAUAAAUCACACAGGACUAACACCCCUAUCUACCAAGGGAGAUAGAUUCCAUCUAAGUGCGCACCCUAUUUCUACAAUGAACCUACUGCAGCCAACAUGCACCGCAAGGACCCGAAUGACUAGGGACCAAGUGUAUGUACAGUCAAACUACAGUAACCUCAUUGUGAAUAGCCGAGGCACAGCAGGUCAAAGGACCAGUCACACUACUGCAAUAUUGAGUAAGGCACUGACGAAUGAGUAGACAUCCAAGUGACUUCUCGCAUUAGUCACGCUCGGUACCCUUGUUCUCUAACAACCACCUGCAUAUUUGCUUCAGUGUCCCCACACUGUCGACUCGAGACCCGUCUACCCAAAAAGGGAAGCGACCUAUGCACCAAUCUCAUCGGAUCAAUUACCGUCCCCGUGAUGAUCCAUUGAUCGGGAGCAUUUAGGAAUUAAUCACCAAUGACACAUGUCUCAAAUUCUCAACUCUUGAGAAUGUAUGUAACCAUUUUAUUAAUUUCUUAGACGAUUCAUGGACACAUACACAACAUGAAUGGAAAUAAGAAUCCAAAUUAUUCAUAAUAUUUUAAAGUAAAAUACAAAUUUAUGUUCUAGAAUAAAUAUAUAUGUCGGCCUAGUUGGCUUCUAGGGCAUACAUCUAACAAUAACCACUUUCUCAAUUACACCAUUAUUGAUUCCAUUCAUAUAGAGUAAUGAACAGUGCGACCACCAAGUCAGCCUACAUUUUUGGAGCUCUACACUAGAAACCACAUAAGGCCAACAUAGAGACAUUAACCCUAAGAAAUAGUAGACUCAUGAUGCCCUAAACUAUUGGAUUAUCUUAGGUUUAGCAUAUCUAAUCUCUUAAAGAGCCAUACUAAUCUCUGUUGUGCAUAUUAUGAUACUAUACUCAUAAUCACCUUGCUAUAUUGAAUACAACUUGUUGACAAUGAGUCAAAGUGUCUUAAUAUAAUCCAACUAGUUUUCCUUAAACCCCCAUGCCACUAAGUUAAGAAUUGAUUACUUUCCCAGCAAUGCCCCAUAAAGCCGCAUCACUCAUAGCUGUAGGAAAAACGUCAAAAUAGCAACAUCAAUUAUUUUACUUAAUGACAUAGUCAGAUGUCACUAAGGACAUCUAACAUAUAUAGGACAUAGCCUCAAAAUGAUGUUCAAAAAAACUCACACAAUGAGGAAGUAGGGGAUCCAUUCACUCGUUUUCUUCAUUUGGUCGCCUAAGCAUGUGUGUAUGAAAUAUAUACUAUGACAGGGGAUCUCAAUAAGCGCUGUCUUUCUCAAUGCCAUACGAAUCUUUGCUCAGGCACUCCCGGAGUGUCUAGCUUGAGUUCUUCAUUUACUCGCUAUCUCAAACGCUAAACAAUGAGCUCACAUUCGGCUCUAAAUGUACAAGCCAUACGAAUCAUGGGACUAUCCAUAUGCGGUAUCGCUUAUGAUCUCAUCUUGGUGCCAACCAAGGCGGCUAUCAUUAAUGCCUCUUUUUUUGAUUGCUCUCUACAACGCUGAAAAGAAUGAUUGCCCGUGUGAAAGGGCCAAUCAGCCUAUGACAUUGUCAUGCCUCGGAUUAUAGCGGAAACUUGGCUUACGUCAAUGGACCCGCCGCAUGUACAAGGAUACACCUUAUAUACACAAAACGUCAAAAAACCUGUCCAAAUAAGUUACUGAAAUCUAACAACAAUAGUUAUUAGAGUAGAAUACAAACUAUGUAUUGUAGCAACACUGUAGAUAUAUAAUUAUCACCACACCAAUCCACAAAAUGGUACAACAUCUUUGGCUACUCCAAACCUCAAAACAUAGUAUAGACUACUAUAUCCACUGAUAAGUGGUCCAACUACAUACACAAAAAGGGUAGGAAAUACUAACUAUCCACGAUCCCCCUAUCUCGAUUAAUCACUGGUGCUGAAAGAUCUGUCAUAAAAUAUUAAUAAAGAGGGUAUGCGAACUAUAAUCAGUAGUCCCCAAUGGAUAUGGUUGACAAAGCCGGUGGUCUACACCAUUAGGUCCAUAAGAGGUUGAUAUAGUAGUAUGAAUGAACAUGUAUUAAUAUAAAUAACUGCUAAAAAUAACUGCUGAAAAUAACUGCUACUAUCAUUGCUCUACAAUAAUAGUAGCAGUUGCUCCACAUGCUAAGAACAGGUAGUUCUCACACACUUUUGUGGUUUACUUUUUAAGGGUACACAUACCGACAGUUGAUCGUGGUAAAGAGGAUCGUGCAGUACAUAGCAUCUCCUACCAGUUUGCCUAUACAUUAGAAGACCACCAGAUAGUGUUACUUUGUAUUACUUGCCUGUAUUGGCGAGGGCCAGGGCCUUGUACAUGUACUUUUCUUUUGGGGUUAAGUUUUAUUUCAUGAAGUACAUGAUGUAUAGCAGUUUAGUUUGUAGAUAGUGCUCUGAUACAUAUCGUUUGUUUAUUUCAUGCUUUAUUUUGGAUCUUGAGAUGUGAAAACUUUUCCGUUUGAUCUCCUGGAUUACUUUGCCUUGUUCUUUUGUGUUGCCGCUUCGUUCGGACAGAGGAAACUCUAUUCAUUCAGCGGAUCUGUUGACGCCUCUGUGGGCUUCCGCUGUGGACUCGGGACGUGACAGUGGGUAACCCUAAAAAUCAUGAUAAUUUAGGGUGCGAUUAAGAUGUAAGUUGUUACCUCCUAGAAGUGUCAUUUGAGAGAUGCCAAUCACCCUUAACUCCCUAUCAUAUGUUGGGAGAUGCUAUUCACCCUUGACUCCCUGCAACGUAUUGGAGAUGCCAAUCUCCCUCGACUCCAAGUACAUACCGAUUGGAGAGAUGUUGAUUGCCCUCGACUCUCCAUGAGGUGUUUGGAGAGUACGAACCAAAUGUUUGAUAUUAUGAGAUAGUUGGGUAAACAUACAGACCUAUGUCAUAGAACCUGAUUGUGACAUAUUGUUUAUAUUUGAGGCAUAAUAGUUGUACUUUUCUUUUAGCAUUUCUAUUAUGAAAAUAGAUAUUUUAUUUACUAUUAUUAUUUUACUAAUGCCUUCUUUAAAUUUAGCGCAUAGCGUUACUUUUGGUAGUUGCACCCACUGGGAACUUAUUUUAUGUUCUCACCCUAUUGUGGUUGUUAUUUUUCAUAGCCAUCUACCGCCAUUGAGGCGUGGGAGUGCCGUAAGGACGUUGUUCGAGUUAGCUAGAUCAGCAUGAGUUGGUUUAGAGUGCAUAGACAAGAAAAAUUAUAAUAUUUUGGAAAGAUUAAAUAUUGUAAACUUGUUAAGAGUUAAAUUGUCACGUCUCGCUAUCGCCAAUUUGGUCGAUCCGGGCCCGCGCACAGACGCCGAACGAACAGCACCUCCUCUGUUCGCCCAAGGCUCAACAACAACGAGUACAUGUAUAAAGAAAUAAAUAAUUCCCAGGAUCACAUUUCAAUAUACAUGGCUUGCACGAAGGCAAGCAACAAACACAAGUGAUAGUAAAGCUAGCUAAACAUGAAAUUUCACUGUAAUUUAAAACUUUACAUAGCUGAACUUUAUAACUGAAACAUUUAGUUAUAUACAUGCUUUUAUACAUUCAUUUACAUGUCUCUGUACAUAAAUAGGAUAUAAUGAACCAACAUGGUAACUGCUAAAACUUCUGGUGUCAGCUAACUAAGCUGCAGGGCCCUUGCCACGAUCCUCGCCGAAACUCGCACUGAGACCUGUAUGGUUAGUGGUGGUAGAACUACAAAUAAGUUCCCAGUGGGUUCGGCUGGCCGACACUCGGCCGUCACCCACUAGGUCUACUCAGGCAUAUGUAGGCAAAGAAAAGUAAGCAGAUAGUACACCAACUAUAACAUGUAACUACCUACAAUGCCGUAUCAAAGCGGAGAAGUAAGUAAUACGAAAACUGUAAAGAUGCAUGCAUGCGUUUUUCAUUAACUUUACCCAAUCUUUUAGUUAACCCUCUGGUUAACAGCUGAACAAGUACGUUAGUCCUGGGGCAAGUACGUCUAGCCACUAAAUUUACCCAAUUCAGUGGUUAACCCUUUGUUAACAAUACUCACCAACGAAAUCCCUCACGGCCCUAAGCUGCCUCCCGAUGGGACCGUCUGUCGGACAAGUACGUUAGUCCUGGGGCAAGUACAUUAGCCCAACAAGUGACUACUCCGGAGCUCACUGCCUGGGGGGAGCGACCACCACCAAGCUAAGAAACAGACUAUGUGAGUAAGAUCUGAUCCUCCUUCAGAGGAUUCACAACAACUGACAAUGCCACAAGUAACUCUGACUAGUUCUUUAUGCUAGUUUCACAAUUCCAUUUUUUGAUGCUAACUAAAUCUCUAGUUAGAAUGUCACCGAAUUUACUAUUAUCAUAGUCCACAGUAAAAUUCACACAUUUAUAGGGUUCUAUGUUCAUAUUCUAUGGCCCACAUGUUCUUUACAUUAACAUAAAUUCAAUUGCACAAUAACACUUUUCCCUAUAAUGCAUGAAUAUGAUACAAUUCACAUAAAUAGAUAUGCUCAAUAGAAUAGCAUAGACAUAAAGAGAGAUUCGAUGACUUCGGAUAGCACCACCCACCUGUAGUGGUGUUAAUCAACUAGAAUCCACGUUUCAGAAAGCGUCGACGACUAUCUCUCGCGACUCCGUGCAAAUAGAACUAGAACGGCCGCUACCGUAAUUAGCGCGUCGUCGACCUGUCGGAAAGUCAAUUUAGACUCUUGGGCAUGUUUACUUUUUACUUAUAAAGGAUUAGAAAAGGUUAAACUAGAGUCAAUACUCAUAUUUUACAAAUUAGCAUUUCAAUGCUAUAUAAAACGGCAACUAUAGCCGAAAAACUUCUUUUGGCGAUAUCUUUGCGUAGGUUCGUCGGAUUGCCGAACCGACUUCGCCAACGCGUUUCUUUUACCCUCAAUUUGGUUUACACGCGGUCAAUUUCGCAUUAGGACUCUUACUUUGCAAAAGUGCAUUGCCGGGGUCAAUUUCUAUAAAAACCCCGUUUUUAUCGAAAUCCUAACUUAUUUUCGAUCUCUCUCUUUCUUAAUUCUUUCUUUUCUCUCUGGCUUUCUUUCUUUUCUUCCUUUCUUUCUUUUCUUCUUUUCUUUCUUUUCUUUUCUUCCUUUCUUUCUUUUCUUCCUUUCUUUCUUUCUUUUCUUUCUUUUCUUUCCUGCUGUUGCUGCGCAUGCUGCUGCUGCUGCUAAGCUGCUGCUGCUAGCUGCUGAGGCUGUUGCUGCUGCUGCUGCUGCUGCUAGCUGCUGCUGAGGUUGCUGCUGCUGCUGAGGCUGCUGCUGCUGUGCUGCUGCUGCUGCUGAUGGCUGCUGCAGCUGCUGUUGCUGCUGCUGCUGCUGCUGCUCAGCAGCUGGCUGAGCAGCUACUGCAGCAGCUGCUGCUGCAGCAGCUUGCUGCUGCUGCUGCUGAUCCAGCAGCUGCUGCUGCUCGCUGCUCUAGCAGCAGCUGCUGAUGCUACUGCUGCUGCUUCAGCAGCAGCUUGCUGCUGCUGUUCCUGCUCACAGCAGCAGCAAGGGCUGCUGCUGCUGCUGUUACUACAGAGAGAGAGGGAUGAGAGGGAGAGAGGUAAAACCUACCUCUUUUCUUCUUCUUCUAUUUCUUCUUCUUCUUCUCUUUUCUUCUCCUUUCUCUUCUUUUCUUUUCUCUUCUUUUCUCCUUCUCUCUCUCUACGUAUGGCAGCAAGGAGAGGGGAUAAGGAUGGAGGGGGGGGCUGCCUGGCAGGUUUAGUGGAAAUCGACUAAGGCAUAGGUUAAUUACCAUAAUGCCCCUCGACUUAUCCGUUUAGCCGCGCGGAUUAAAUACCUUUCGUAAGCCCUUCCGAAAGUUCGAUUGAGCUCAAAUUUGACAGACAUGUUCGUUUUUACUUAACAAGUCCACNGUGACACCCCAAUAGUCCCACAUCGGAUGGGAAUGGGGUUAUCAUUGGGUUUAUAAGAGACUUAGACACUAGUAAUAAUAACUGGGCUUAAGCAUUUUGGGCCGGUUGUUGGGCCCAACGAGUUAUUAUUGCUAGUGGGCUGGGUCGUUACACAAAACAAGGAUCAAAGGAUAAAAUCAAGUACUAACCUUUCUAGGUGCCUCAAAACAAGCUCCAAAUCUUCUAGGGUUGAAGAUUGGUCCACCACCAAGCCCUACAAGCAAGCUCCAAGCCUUGCAAGAGUGGAAAGAAGAGAAAAGGGGUUGAGCUCCAAGCUCCCUCAGGCAAGCUCCUCUUCUUCUUCUCCUCCUUCUUCUUCUUCUCUCUCUAGAAAGUGUAGGGAGAGGGUGAGAAAUGAGGAGGGAAGAGAGUGAAAGGGUCAUAUAGACCAUUUAGAGCAACAAAAUCCAGAGAGGCCCCUCAAAAAUUCAAAUUUGCAUCAGCCCGGACUGGGCAGUUUUUGCCCAGAGGGACCGGUCUCUCCUUGCAAGGGACCAGUCUCUCGUGUCGAACCCGAGAAACCAACGUUCGGGAACCGGUCUCUCCCCGCGCGGGACCGGUCUCUCACUGCGUAGACGCGCUCGGGGACCGGUCUCGCCCGCCAGGGACUGGUUGCCUCGCCGGCUGCGCAACACUGUUCACUGGAGGACCGGUCUCUCCUAGCAGGGACCGGUCUCCGAGAGUGAAAACUCUCAGGACUCGUCCAGAACUCAGGUUUUCAAACUUUUUGGAUCGAAAAACAUUCUACGACCCUCCACCAAGUGUGGAAAAGCUUGAAAUACAUCCAAUCACUCGAACCUCGCAAUUUGCAAAGGUCCAGUGUGUUACAAGUUCUCACCCCACUAUUCCAGAGUCGGGACCGAGCGAGCCGACGAGCGAUCGGGGUAAAGGUAUCGCACCAUAGUCAGAGGCCACCAGAGUCGGGUUAUUUCAUAUUUUGUUAGUUUACCCUUUUAUCAUCUUUUGUAUUUGAUGAUUUAAGAUGUUAAUGUAUAAAGCGAAGAAAGAAAAGAAUGUAAUGUUUAUUUUAAGCCAAUGUGAUGUAAAAGAAAUGAUGCAAGCAAUAUAAAGAAUCAUGAAUGUACAACUUGGAUGAAGUGGAUGCAUGUAUGUGAUCAAAAGUUGAAUUAUAAUACUUGUGUAGAUGUUUAGUUCCCUUUCUUUCACUCAUGGCUAUUGCUUAUCCUCGUGUAAGCCGUUUGUGUAUAUUUCUGCUAGUGCACUUCAUUUUUUGAAAAUGUACAUAUGAUGAGCCUUGGGCGGACAGGAGAAACUCUGUCCGUUCGGCGUUUGUUUGACGUGCUCGGGCCGGCCCAAAUUGGUAUCGGUCGCGGGGCGUGACAUCUAAAGUGUCAUAUUUGAGUAUAUGUAUGUAUUGACCAUAUUGUAUAGUAGGGUUACUUGUGAGCUUCUCAUUGCAUAUUGUGAGUUCAAAUGCAUGAGAAAUACUAGUAAGAAAGUGAGAAUUUAUAAACUCUAUGCAUGCAUGAUAAAUGAUGAGAACUUAGUAGACCUAACUUAGUAGACCUAGAAAACAAAUGUGACAUGUGGACAUGAAUGUAGAGAGUGGCAUUGUUGAGUCAAGAAUGCUAGAAUUGAACACUUAGAGAACAUGUGUGGCAUGUGUGUGCGAGUACAAAGUAGUAUAUAUGACACUAGCGAAAGUAAAGAAUGCAAGUAAAGGAGUGAUUGUGACAUUAUGAUAUAACAACCUUCGAGUUAAGGGUCAUAUGUAGAUUGUUUCCUUAUAGUUAUGGAUUGAACUUGACAUCUUUAUCGUUAUGGAUUGGAUCAUACUCACCUGUAAGUCCUUACUCGAGGGCGGUAGCUUCCCCUCGGGCGAUGUGCUCCGGAGUUGUCAUUACUGAAAAGUGGAAUCUCUAGAGGACGGUCCUAUCGGGCGUAGUAGUCUCCCCGAUACUUGAGAUUUGAGUUGGUGAGUCUAUUGAGGGCGAAACCCACGGGCUAGCCUAGAGAUUGGGAAUCGAAAAUGUGACCUUGCAUUCAUCAUGAGUAUUCUAUCGAGCAUCGCAUUCUUUAUUGUUUAGGCAUAUUAGCUGCAUUUGUUUAGUUGGUUACUAUCUGUCUGUUCUUCUAUUAUGCCUGAUUUAGAUCUAGUGGGAAAGUCGGCGUGGUUGGUUGCCGAACCUACUGGGAACUUUGUUGUAGUUCUCACACCCCACCUUCCACAGAGUCAGGACCGAGCGAGCCGUCAUACGACCGCGGUAAAGGGAUCACGCCCUAGAUAGAGACCACCCGAGAUGGUUUCAUAUUUUGUAGUUGCAUUUCCUUUAGUAUCAUCUUUUGUAUUUGAUGAUUCUAGAUGCUUAAGAGAAUGAUGUAAAAGAUAUUUAUUUCCAAUGUCAAAGGUUGUAUUUUGGAGAAUGAGAUGUAAAAAGAUAUGAUGAAAAAGAAUGUAAAAGGACUUGAUGAAAGUAGUAUGCAUAUAUAUGAUUUAAAGUUAAUUAUUGUACUUGUAUGUUGAGUAGUUAGAUCUUUCAUUUUGGCUAUUGCUUGCCCUCGUGCAAGCCAUUAUGUUUGCUUCCGUAUGUGUAAUUUUUAUACCCUAUUUGUACUUGUUGUUGAGUCUUUGGUGGACAGGGGAGGUGUUGUCCGUUUGGUGUCUGUUCGACGGGUCCGAUCCGGCCAAAUAGGACCGAGUUCGGGGCGUGACAGAUAUAAUGGUAUCAGAGAGUAAAGUGCCUAAAGUGAAAGUAUAGGAUAGACCUAGAGACUUUUAGUGUAAGGAAGUGAAUUCUCAAAAUUCGAGAGUUGGACUUCGCUCAAAAUCGAUUAUUUGUCGAGUGGGUAUGCUUCGAAAAGCCGAAGAAGUCGAAAACCCGAAAAAUGCAUUGCAACAGAUCCACGAGAGCAAGUUGUGCAAAAGUCUGCACUUGGCAGAUUUUGCUCUCGGGGACCGGCCCCUGGUGGGAGAGACCGGUCCCCGUAAGUUGAAGCUGCGAUAGAAAAUCUCUGCUCACAAGUUUUGCUCUCGGGGACCGGUCCCUACCAGGAGGGAUCGGUCCCCAUAAGCGUUGUGAGCGGCAUAGAAGGUCUGCGCGCAAAGAUUGCUCUCGAGGUCCGCCGGUCCCUCAAGUGGGGAUCGCUCCUUGAAGGUCCGGUCCCUUAGGCGAGGACCGGUCCCUGUACGCGUAGAAACUGGCUGAGAGCCUCUGCCCGCAAGAAAGGCUCUCGGGGACGGGUCCCUCUAGGGACAGACCGGUCCUCGAGGGACAGACCGGUCCCCGAGCACGAAAAUUGCCCAGUCUGGGCAGUGUGAAAGAAGCAAAAUUGAGGGGCUUGGAUGUAAUUAUUGCAUUAGUUAGGGGUAUAGAGGGGAGAUCACCCCCUCUCCCUCCCAACCCUCUCUCCCUCUCUCUCUCUAAGCUCUCUCUCCCUCUCUCUUGAAGUGAAGAAGGAGAAGAAGGGAAAGAAGGAGAGAAAGAAGGAGAAGAAGGAGAAGCAAGCUAGAGAAGGCCUUGGUCUUCUUCUUCUUCUUCCUCUCACCAUUGGAGCAAGCUUAAGAGGUAAACUUCUAAGCCCUACAAUGGUAGAAACCUAUGGUUUGGAUUUCUUGCUCUAGAAAUGGUUUGAUUAGAACUCUAGCAUGCUUCAUAGAGGUUUAAAGCUUAAAUCUAGAGUUUGAUUGGGAUAGUUUGCUAUAGAGAUGCAAACCCAGGGCUCCAAAUUGAGGUUUUGCUUAAUAGUGAGGUUUGAUCUCAAUUGUUGGCAUCUAAACCUAAUUGCUAGGUGCCUAAACGCGUUGGCGAAGACGGAUUGAGCAUUCGUCGAGUCGUUGAAAAGUUAUCAGCAAAACAAGACCGAUUGGGCUUCGUUUCCGCCUUGGAGGCCGAGACGGCAUCGAAGCAACUGCCGAAUAGCGUUCUUAGCGCCCCGACAUCGUCGAAAGGUGGGUGGUGUCAUCCCGAAGCAACCGGGUUCCUCUCUAUGUCUUAGUAUACCAUGAUUUCGCAUCUCUUGCAUGUUGCAUUGUAUUCCAUCCCUUAUGCUUUCUAAUUGAUAUCAUAGUGUGAGUUGAAUACUCGGUAUUAUGGAUAGAUGAGGAUUGGGUCUUGACGUUGAAUUCUAUAGUGCCGAGGAAAAGAGAUGGACUCGAUAGUUUCCUAAUGACAUAAUGAGUGGCAUGUGAUUGACAAAUGAACAGAACGAGUGGCAUAUAAUGUAGUGUACAAUGACACUAGUGACAUAUGAACUUAGAGAUAGGUGGACUCCCUAGUGAUGACUCAUUGAACAAAGAACAUAGUGUAGUUAAACAUUUACACAUGGACAUUGGGAUAGGUGGAUUCCUGAGUGACUACUAGCCCUAGUUGAUAGGGUAUCCUCGAGUUGAGAGGAUGGAUCAUACUCACAGUCUGUUUAUACUUGUGGUGGUCGCGCCACACAAGUCGUCGUGCACUCCGGAGUUUGGCGCGAGAGGGGCAGAGUUGAUGUCCCUCAGACGGUCCCUGGUUUGAGAGCGAGGUGAGUCUCUUUACCAUACGGGAUGGCGAGGUGAGUCGAAGGCGAACCCAAGGGAUCGCCAAGGAUUGGAUAAACAAGAGAAUAUCACUGUCAUUGAACAUUUGCUUAUUGGACAUUGUAGUGGACAUAGUGGCAUGUUAGUAAACCAUUUACUAUAUGAUGCAUGCAUGCAUUACCUGUGAUUGGGCAUAGUAGCAUAGUGUUCUUACUAUGGCAUUUACCGUUUUCUUAUCUAUCUAUCUAUCUAUCUGCUUUUACCCACUCGGACCUAGUGGGGAGAUCGACGGAGUCGGCGGCCGAACCUACUGGGAACUAUGGACAAUAGUUCUCACCCCACUUUGUUGCAGGACCUAGUUCGAGCGGCCCGUGCGAGGACCGCGGCAAGGGUAUAGCGCCCGAGCAGUAGUAUAGUAGCUUUCCUUUUGCAUUUGCAUACCCUAUGUAUUUGAGAGACUUAUGUAGGUGAGGAUUUGGAGAGCUAUGUAUGUAUUUUGAUGAUGGCCUAGUAGCAAUUGUAUCCAUUUUG
rnacentral:lncRNA from 1 species